rnacentral:lncRNA from 1 species
UCUUUGUACAACGGGGUUUUCAAUUUCACGUCAUCGGGUUUCACGUCGUAGAAGAUGGGCAAUAUGACCUUCUCUUUCCCAUCUUCUUUAUUUUUAGAGGUGUUCUCCACCAUCUUCGCAAGCUCGUCGAGGCACCAGUGACUUGAAGCAUAAUCUUUGGAGAAGAUGGGUAUGUAGAGCUUGGAAUUGUCAAUUGCUUGUAGAAGGUUGCCACUAAUUCUUUCACCUGGUCGAAGCCCUUCAUCAUCGAUGAAAACACUAAUCCCAGCAUUUACCAAGGCUUGGUGGAGGAUAUCGGUGAAUGUACGACGAGUAUCAGGUCCUCUAAAAUUCAAGAAGACCUGGUACUUACCUCCUGAUGGAUUGCUGGUGCUUGUUCCUGUCUCUGAGUUCACCAUCGGAGCUCACUUCGCACUUAGCAAGGUCAGCCCUCUUACUUGGUCUUUGAGUUUGCCAUAUGACAUUUCACAUAUUUGAAUCCAAUCCAAUUUGCCGUCCAAAACGCGUAUAGGCAACUUCGUAGCAGGUGCAAUUUCCAGUUUGCAAUCAAUAAAGUUGAUGGCUUUAAAAAAGAAAAAUAAGGCGGAGGACAAUUAUGGAGGUGCCCCUUUUUAUACGCCCAAUUUCUUUCCAGUUUCCCCUUUGUGUUUUUGAACUUUUGGAUUAAAAAUAUUUGAUUCUUUAUAUCUAUAGUUAGGCAUAUUUAUAAUCCCAAUCUAGAAUUGUAAAAUGACAAUUUAUUUAUAUAGAAAAACAAAUUAUUCCUAAAGGAUCGCCUCUUAUUCUAAUACUUGGGACUGUAGAUAAUUAGAAAUAUCUCCUUGUUACUAUAGAGAUUGGAUUUGCUGCAUUCUCUACAACAAAUGCUCUACCUAAGCAUAUACGUACUACUUACUAUGAAAUAUUUGUUUUGAUCUCUUUGCCUUCAAGACUUCCUUUAAUUUUAAGUCAUUUCCUUUAACAACUCAAAUAUUCUCAUAAAAUGUGCAAUUAUAUUAAAAAGCAAAUGAUAAUUUAUUUUCUACUGAUAACUAUUAGAAUGUAAGCAUGGUGCAGUUAGUGUGCAUUGGACGUUAAACCAAAUCAAAUUAUAUAAAUAUGAUAGAAUAUAUUUCGAAUUUGAAAUUGUUGGAUGAAAUAGGACCAGAUGAGACUUAUGGAUGCUCCACCACUAUUCAAAAUUGGUGAGAUGAAAUGUAGUGAUGGCCUGUCAAUGGCCAUGAUGCCACUCCAUCCUGGUGUUGCUGUGAGCACGAAAGAAAGAAAAAGAAACCAUGAUGGUCUUGACCAUAAGAGAUGGCUUUGCUCAACUGAAGAAAGGGAAAACGAGAUCAAUGAUGGCCAUUGCCAAUAAUCGACCGAAAGGGAAGAAGUCGAAGAAAGUCACGAGGACGAUGUCUUUUCAUGUUGGCCACUCGUUGUUUCCUUUCUUCUCUAUUUGGUUCUGCUGAAUUUCCCCUUUAGAAACCAAGAGGAAGAGCUCUCAAUGUCAUAGAGAGCUCCGAAGGCUGCACAGAGCAUAUUGAAAAGCGUGCUGAAAGUUCCUCUUGAUCACACCAAAUAUUUCUUUUCUGAAGCCUAUUAAAUCUUUUGUUGAGAUUUGUAUCAUUUCUUUAAGAGAUUGAAAAAAUUAUUUUGAGAGAAAUUUUAAAAACGAAACAUUGUAUAGUUAUUGAGUAUUAGAAACUAAAAACCACCGAGAGUAUUUAAAUGACUCAAGUGUGAUUAUAACUUUCAUUAUUUUUUUUUAUCUAUAAUGGAAUCUUGUGCUGCUAUCUUUGUAGACGUAAAUCACACGAUUGAAUCAUAUAAAUCUAGUGUCCGAUUCAUUUGUUGUUUUGUGCAUUUUAUUCAAUUGCUUUUUUUUUUCAAAAGGGAAUAUGGUUUGAAGAAAAGUGAAACCAAAGUAAAAGAUAUUUAAUAUGACCAGCAUUAGGCAUUCAUGAACAAAUGCAUGAAAAAGUAUCUUUUAUUUUCUUAAGAUAUCGAUAAAUAUUUAUAACCUUAAACUUGUGAUUAGUGAUAGAAUUUGUCCCAUCGCCUGCUUAACAUUAACUCUGAUCAUGAGUACGAGAUUCAAUGCAAUCUAUACGACCCGUUUCUUCUAAUGUCCCUUUGACAAUGCAUAGUGAUGUUCUUUUAUUGCCAUUUUCUCCGUUAAAUUGCGCUAGCCCGUGUGUUUCACUUUGACUCCUUCAUUUUCCAUGAUUUUAUAGUCAAAUAUAUUUUAUUUAUUUAGUUUUGAAUGCGAUAUAUCAAGAAAAUCAUAAAUUUGCAACUACAAUCUUGACAUAUUAAGUAUGUAUGUUUUGCAUGAUUUGACAUAGAUUUUCACGACAUUUGUUAGUGAUACAUUUUUUUUUGUUAGCAUGAUUUAACAUAAAUUAUUUUCAUAUUUCAUCUCUUAAAUAAGUUUUUGGUGAGAAAUUGAAAAUCAUUAUGAACAUUAUUCUUCGGAUUUUGAACCGUUGUAGUAGAAGUAGUGAAGAUCAGAUAGAGCCUAGCCGCAAUUUGGUUUGUUUUAUUUAUAUUUGUUUUUCGUGGCGUUAUUAGUUGCUUAGACUUGCUGACUAAAUUGGAGCACUGUACGAAGUCUUCGAGAGGAUGACUUGUCCACAUUUAUUUUAUCUCAUUUAUAACACUAGUAUCUAAAUCAUUCGACUCAAUUAAUACCGAUUUAUGCACGCAAAUCACUCCAUUCACGUGCAUUCGGUUAGCUUCAUUCACAAGAUUGUUAAGGAGACACCGGGGGUAAUGAGUAAAGGACACUGUGAUCAAAUAUGAACUAAACGUCGUUUCAAAAAUAGCAUUCAAAAUACACAUAAUGCAUUCAUGACUGUUUUUACGAACCCAACAUUUCACAAAUUAUGUAUAAAACAAUAAUCCUUCCAAAGAUAUGGCAAUCGGAUCAUAACUAUGGUCAUCUUUGAUGCGCAACUUUCUACAACUCAGCAACACCUUUUGAAAAUGCUAUGAACAUGUACAUCUUAUGCUUUCAAGCCAUUGCCUCAAAUGAUUGGAAUACAUAAAAGACGUUAAUGCUUGCUUUUUAGUAAAUCGGAAGGUCAUGCGAUACCAUAUUACAAGAUCCCCAAAAGAUGCCAACAUGCCAUUCUUUGAAAUCAUGUUUUUACCUUUUAAUUAAUCACGCAUGCUGCAUACAGCUUCAACAAAUCCGAAAGGUUUUAGGCAUGUGAAAAUUGAUGUUAUCGGACGAUUAGCUUUUGGACCUAUUUCUUCAAUAGCUAAAGGUAGUCAAUAUGUGGUAUAGACAAUGCCUUUGAGAGUGUGUGGCUGGAGGAGAGUUGUUAUCGAAGGCAUUUCUACAAAAAAGUUUAGAUGUGUUUAUUUUGAGUGCGCGCCUCAUUGUUCGUCAAAUUUCUGCCAUUCUUUUGUAUUGGACAAUUCAGUAAUAAUAACAUUACAUUCAUUAAUGGAAGCUUUUAUUACAUUCUUAAUGCAAAAAGCUUCUCCACCGUGUCAUCCUCCUUCAGAAAUUUACAGAAGAAGAAUCAAGGCGUUGCAUGAGAAAUGGAGAAAAGAAUGUCUAUUAUGAGAAAUAAACAAAGAAAUUCUUGAUUUGAAUGCCCGAAGUGCGAUGCCACUUUCUUUAGCGAGAGACAUCAUUUUGGACGUUUGUAUCGCGUGACUCAUGCGAUUCAAUUGAAACUUAUGAACGACAACUUCAUAGCAGUUGCAGCUUUCAAUUUAUAGUCAAUAAAGUUGAUGGCUUUAGAAAAAAAUGAAAUGGAGGACAAUAAUGGAGGUGAACCUUUUUACAAGCCCAAUAUCUUUCGAGUUUCUUUGUUAGAGCUAACACUAUCACCUAAAAAAAAGGUGAAUAGGUGAUUAUAAACAAUUAAAGCGGAGUUUAAAACAACCAAGUUCAAUAUCAUGAAAAACAAAAUCUAAUGAAAAACUUUGUAGUGAUUAGAUUUUCUACAACGUCUAAUGAAAAACUACACUAUAAUAAGACUUUACUAUGUGCAAUAAAUAGAAUAAAUGAGUUAUUAAAGAAUAGAGAAAAUCACACACAACAAUUAUAGUGGUUCAACUUAUGAUAAACCUACAUUCACUCUCCCAUGCUACAGCCUAUUAGUUGGAUUUCACUAUGAAGAAUUAAUAAGAGGUUACAAGAUAUGAACUAUAAACACUCAAGUUCAUGCGUAUAACUCCUCACACACUCUCAACUUCUAAAUAAUUAUACAAUGAUACUCAUAGAGACAAAUGUAUUUGACCGCAAAACACUCUUUAGACUUUGGAAUUAUAAGUUUUGAUUCUCUUGUGUUGCGUUUUUCCUUUUAGCUUCGAGACCUCCUUUUAUACUUCUCCCAAACCAAGCUAACCAUUGGACAUAUAUCCAAAAAGAUUAUCUAGCCAAUCUACCUCUUGGCCUGGAUCUCAUUAAGAAUGUUUGAUCACUUUAAGGAUGCCGAGAAUAAAGCUUCUCAUAGAUUCUGCCACUCAUACAGCAGUUUGGGUUUUCAUAAGUCGAGUGCUUCAACUUAGAAAGAAUGUUUCGCCUCAAGUAUAUCGUUCUAGGAAAGACGAGGAAUCCAAUCAGUCGCUGCUAACCUUUAUUGUCUCAUUCUAGCUGUUUGACAGAGUACAUAAGAAAGGAAAUAAUUAAGUCAUGACUCUGGUUUUGAUUGAUAUUGUCUGAUCAUACUUCGUUGGACUUUGCACUUGAAAAAUACUUAUCAUCAGAAUUAAAGUCUUUACGCUAGAUAAGUUUUGUCAAUCUUCAAAAUCAAUUUGGGAGAUUUUCUCAACAAUCUCCACUUUUUUAUGAUGACAAAACUUUCCAAGCAGAACUUUAGAAAAGAUUUUAAAAAGAUUUAGUAAUCAAAUAGCUCUAUUGAAAGCAAUAUUUUAGAUAAGGCACAAUGUGAAUUCUAUAAGAACUUUGCUGAUUUUGUAAAGAUAAGUACAAACUUCUUACAGAAUAUUGAGCUAAUCAGAGUGAAUAAGAUUUGUAAAGAAAUUUCUUGAUUUGUGAAGAAAUUCCUUACUCUGAUUAAGGAAGUUCAAGAUAAGAAUAGAUUCAAGAAAACUUCCUUUUUUUUUUUAUAUAUAUAGCUUCUCCUUAGCAAGAUCACAAAAGAUCUUCAUCUACAUAUAGUGUUAUGCUUUUCUUGCAUUUUCUCUUUCUUUUUGUCAGCAUCACAAAAGAGACAAUAAUAAUGGAAGGAGUAUCACAGAGAGAAUAUGCUAUUCAGCUCAUCUUCACACACAAUCUUCAAAACAUAUUUAGCAUGAAAAUUUUUUUUCAUAAACAUCCUAUAGAUGCUAUGGUGAACAUAAAAUAAUUGCAAUAUAGCUCAUGUUAUUAUAGAAUCAAAUACCAUAUGCAUCAAAUAAAUAUAUGUCAAUGAUAACAUAUGCAAUAUAUAAAUUUCAUAUACAUUUUUUGUCAUAAUAAAACGAUAAUGGAAAUAUGAGAUUUAUAAUGACAAAAGGUAAGUGAAGUAAGAAAAAUACUAACCAGAUCAUGUAGAAUUUAGCAAGUUCUAAUAUACAUUAUAUUUUCUUCCAUAAUCAAGAGGAGGCAAAAAUUAAAUUGACUUAAUCAGGAUUUUCUCACACUUAAUUUACACUCCCUUUCAAUUUAAUGCCUUUAUGAGAUGAUCACGGUUCUUCUCCUUUAUUGUGCAUCCACUUUCUCAUUCUUUAAUAAAUUUAACAAAUUUUGCGCCUAGAGGAGAAUUUUUGCUCCUUCGAAAAUGGUGUGGAAUCUUCGCGAUUUUUCUGAUCAAAUUUUCCAAAAUUUAGAUGGAAAGAUUAUUUGCCACCUGCAAUUUUUUGUAAAAGAGAUAACAAUUUGCAAAAUAUAGACAAUAUCACGUACUUUCCUUCCUUGAAUUCGCGGAUUAAUUUUGCCAGUUAGAAGAUAUGCUUCUAACAUAUAAAAGCACGCAUUAAUUUCUUUCAAGAUUAAAAAGAUUCUAAUGUUUAAAAGAAAAUCUGAUUUUCAAAUGUUUAAAUCAUUUAUAAUUAUUCUAUAGCGAUGGUUAAACAUAUUUAUAUAGAUACAAAUGGAAUUUAUCUAUAUAAAUGCAUAAUAAGAAAAUAGUCCUAUAGAAAAGUUUAAGUUUAAGUGCAUUUAUUUCAAGUGAAAAGUUUAAGUUUAACUGCAUUUAUUUCAAGUGAGAAGUUCGUCAACUUUCAAACUGUUUUUUUGGAUUGGACAUUUUAACAAUAAUAACAUUACAUUCAUUAAUGGGAAGAGCUUUUAUUACAUUCUUAAUGCGAAAAGCUUCUCCACCAUAUCAUCCUCCUUUAGAAAUUUACAAAAGAAGAACAAGCCCAUUACAUUAAAAAACGAGAAAAGGCUGUUUAUUGUAAGAUAUGACGACAAAAUUAUUGAUUUGAACACCCGAAGUCCAAUGCCACUUUCGUUAACGAGAGACAUCAUUUUGGACGUUUAUAUCGCGUGACUCACGACAUUUAAUUGAAAGUGAUGGAUAGGCAACUUCCCAGCAGCUGCGGCUUUUAAUUAAUAGUGAAUGAAGUUGAUGGGUUCAGAAAAAACCAGAUGGAGGACAAUUAUGGAGAUGUACCACUUUUUUCAGUCGGUCGAGAUGUACAAUUAUGGAGAUGUACCAUUUCGCACGCCCAAUAUCUUUCGCCUUUCUUCUCGGUGCCUUUGAACUUUUGAAUAAAAAAAAACUCCAAUUUUCAAAUGUUUAAAUCAUUUAUAAUUAUUCUAUAGCUAUAUCUAUAAUUAAACAUAUUUAUAUAGAUAAAAUCACAAUCUAUAUAAAUGUAUAAUAACAAAAUGUUCCUAAAGAAUAUCUCUCAUUAUGACAUAUGAGACUUUGGACAAUUAGAAGAUUUUCCUUCAAACUAUUGAGAUUGGAUUUGCUACAUUCACCACAAAAAUGCUCCACCUAAGCACUACCUAGCAGUAUGCUUACUACUUACUAUGACGUAUUUGUUUUGAUCUCUUCCCCUUAAUGACUUACUUUUUAUCAUAAUUAAUUACCUUCAACCCCACAAAUAUUGCAAUAUAUGUGCCUUUAUAUUGAAAAGCAAAUCUUUUACAACACUUAUUGUCUUAUUGAAAACUAUUAGAAUGCGAGCAUGAUAUAAUUAGUGUGGUUUGGACAUCAGCCAAACCUAAUUAUAUAAACAUUGAAAUAUAUCUCAAGUCGGAGCCGGAUUAAACCGGAUCGAAAGACUUUGACACUCGACCUAUAGUCAAGAGUGGUGAGCGGGAAAUGCAUGGUGCCAUCCCAUCAUGGUGUUGCUUUGAGCGUCGAAAGAAAGAGAGACCGCCCUGGUCUUGACCAUAAGAGACGACUUUGCUCAGCUGAAGAGGAAAAGAGAGAAUGAUGAUGGCCACCGCUGACACGAGACAAAAGGGGAAGGAAACGACGAAGAAAGUUGCAAUAAUGGCGUCAUUUAACGGUGGCCGCUCAUUGUUUCCUUUCUUCUUUAUUUGCUUCUUGUGAAUUUUCUCUGUGAAUACGAAGAGGAAGAGCUCUUAAUGAGAGCUCCAAGGACUGCACAACGAGAUUAAAAAUUUCCUCUUAAAAGUUUUGAUUCAAAAAGUUUUUCUUUAUGAAAUUACACAAAAUGAAGUCAAUUAAAUCUUGUGUUAACGUUUAGGUCAAUCUUUUUAUGUGAAUGAAAUAUUAUUUUGAGAGAAAUUAUGAGGGUUAAACACAGAGUUCUUAGUCAUAUUUGAGGGAUAAAAAUACAAAUAAUAUUUGAGUAACUCAAGUAUUAUUAUAAUUUUCCAUUGCAUUGUAAUUUCAUGGUUUUCAUUUCCUCGUGGACGUAGGUCACAUAACCGAACCACGCAAAUUUAGUGUUUGAUUCAUUUCCUUGUUUUACAUUUUUAUUCAAGCACUUGUUUUAUUUCCAACAAUAAAUAUGGUUUGAAGAAAAGUGAAACCAAAUUAAACCGUAUUAUAGUCAAGAUCAAACCAAGCCAAACCAUUUUAUGUGGCUUGAUUCGGCUUAAUCAUUCUUUCUGCUUUUAUUUUACCUCUUCAUCACAUGUAAUUUCAUGACUAAAAAAAAAACAAAUUCUAUGCCACAACCCUUCCGAGGCGAGAUCCCUGAGGAAGUUACCGAAUUACCAAGUAAGCAUGAAUGGUCCCUUUUGCAAGGUGACGCUUGCUCUUGGCAGGAUCAAUCUCAACUUGGUUUUCAUUAAUUAUUUCAUUUGCUCAAGAGUCGCCAUUAAUUUUUUAUAAACCGAUUAGGAGUCAAGUAAAACACAAGAGCCUAUUUUACUUCUACAAACCAGAGAUUUGUGGGUCUAACGACUUGAUUAGGCUGGAUAUGUAAUGUGCAAUUAUUCAUGCGAUCUUCCAAUCUUAGUUACCCAUUUUGUUCUCAAUAUCGAGGGAAGAAGGCGAUCAUGCAUGAAAUCACUCAAGCAAACACAAAUAAAAUCCAAUAAUACUGAAACAAAUAGAGCAAAUAAAAGGUACGAAAAUAAAGAAAUUGAGCCGUAUUGCAAAAAAAAAAAAAAAUUAAUACAAAGCUUUGUUCUUAAGUUUCAAGAUAGGACCCCUUGAGCUAUAAAUAGAAACUCGAUGUUAGAUCUCCAACUAUGGCUCCAAACCGGAAAGUCAAUAAAUGAUACUUCAUGAAUAUCCACUAUAUAAACUACUUUCCUAAAAUGAACAAUUACUUCAAAAACGUAAAAUCUACUCAAUGCAAUGUUAAGAAAACAAAAUUUAUUUAUGAAUAUGCAUUAUUGGUAAAAUACACUCCUAGAUGUUUUUUUUUUAAAAUUUUAUUUUAUGAAUAUGCAGUUUAUCUUUCCAUUUGUUUUUUUUUUCUUUUUUGCAUUUCCCCCUUCUUUAUAUAUACACGCACACAUAUAUAAGUGAAACAAAAUUUGAUUACGUGUUGAAAUAAAUAUGAACUAGAAUCUAUAUGCCAAAAUAAUAUGUAAUAUAAAUCCGGAUUUUCAUGAAAAUUUGCACUACGUUCACUUGGAAUUUUUUUUCUUUGGAAACGCUCAAUUGGAAUUUCAACCUUAAAAUUGCAUCAAGAACGACUUAGUGCACACGAGAAAAUAAAGAAAACUAAAGUGACAUAAUGCUAUGAAUUAGAGCCAAACUAAUCCACACUAUGCGAAAAUCAACGGUGGAUGAAUAAAUCUAUACGAAUAACCAAUUUUCUCUCUACCGCUUUUUUUAGGGCGCAGUUUAGCUAACCGUCCUCUGUCAAAUGAUGGAGUGACAGUCAACUAAUGACCACACAAUUCGCAUGGAUUCCAUCUUUUACCCUUUUUUUUUUUUUUAAUUUUAUGUUUUCUUAUUGCAAGCUUAAAUUGAGAGAUAAAAUCAUAAGAGGGCCCAUACAAUCAAUUUUCAUGAAUAUUAUGAAAGAAAAAAUAAAUUAGAUACCGAAAUAUAAAUAAUUAGAAGUAAAAAAUAUUGUCAUCCACUACAAAGAAAUCGUUCAUUUCAUUAUGUAGAUCUAUUAAAUUUAAAAGAUGAAAAAACACUUGAAUUGUUGGCUUUGCAACUAAUAACAAAAUUAUUGUGCAAUGAAUUGGCUUCUCAAUCAUGUCACCAAAAUCAAAUUGCUUUGGAAGGACUCUCCGAUGACCUAAAAUUAAGACGAGUAAUGUUAAUUACGCAUAAAACAAAUGAAGUAAAGAAAAAGAACAAAAUAAGAAUAAUGAAUUAGUAGAGAAGAAAAUUUACCCCAUUGAUCUCGUAGAUGAAGAUGAUUUGGGACCUAAAAUAUUACAAAAUCAAUCUUAGGAUCACACGAGUGAAAAGUAAGCCGAAAUGAUUUUUGAUCAAUUUUUAUAAAUAUUUUACCUAAUAUAGCUUCAAUGUUUGGUUCGUUGAGAAGAUUCACAUAACCAUGAGAUAUGACCAUAUAUCAUUUUAUAUAGAUAAAAAGUCAAUUUAUAGGAAGGUAUUUUAAAUAAAAUAAUAAUAAUACGUAUUAGCAACUAUUGAAAACCCUCAAUUCUUUCCUGAUUGCAAAUCAAAUUUCAAGAAUAGUUACGGUAACUCAUAUCAUCCAAAUUACCAAUUAUAUUUUGGUAUCUAAUUUAUUUUUUCUUUUAUCAUAUUCAUGAAAAUUGAUUGCGUGGGUCCUCUUAUGAUUUUAUCUCCUAAUUUAAGCUUACAAUAACGAAACAUAAAAAAAAGGGGUAAAAGAUGGAUUUCAACCGGUUUCCAUCCAAAAUGUGUGGUUCUCAACUGACCGUCACUCCAUCAUUUGAAGGAGUGAUGGUCAGCUAAGCCUUUUCCACAUUUUAACGAGGGGCAUGCCUACAUAAAAGUUAAGUGCGUCUUCAUUGCUCAACCCAACCCACCAAUUCUGAGAAAAGUCACACAUUUGCAUGUGGACAAACCAUUUACGUAUAUCAAAGCCCAAAUCUUUCUCAUUUAUUUCGAAUUCAUUUGCAUUGCACAUUGUAGAAACAAUAACAUCACAUUCAUUAAUAUGAAGAAUUUUAUUACAUUCAUAUUGUGAAAAGUUUCUCCACCAGAUCAUCUUCCUUUAGAAAUUUAUAAAAGAAGAACAAGUUCGUUUCAUUAGAAAAGAAGAAGAGGAUGUUUAUUGUAAGUUAUAUAUGAUGCAAUUCUUGAUGUGAACACCUGAAUUUAAAUGCCACUUUUGUUUGUAAGAGAUAUCAUUCUGGACGCUUCUACCCCAUGACUAACCUGAUUUAAUUAACAAUUAUGGACAGCUAACUUCACAGCAGCUGCAGCUUUCAAUUUAUAGUAAAUUAAAGUUGAUGGCUUCAGAAAAAGUGAGAUGGAAGACAAUUAUGGAGGUGUACCUUUUACACGCCCAAAUUCUUUCGAGUUUCUUCUUGGUGCUUCUGAACUUUUGAAUAAAAAAAAAUCCGAUUUUCACACGUUUAAAUCAUUUAUAAUUAUUCUAUAGCUAUAUCUAUGGUUAAAUACAUUUAGAUAAAAUCACAAUUUAUCUAUAUAAAUGCAUAAUCAUAAGUUUAAGUCUGUCUGCGGCGCUCAACACACCAAUUCAUAAUCCUUGCAUGGAUACUUUCGUCCCCUGAUGUUCGAAACGCUCUUCUUUUUUCUCCCUUGUGGUAAAAAGAAUCCUAGUACCAAGAUACAAAGACUUCACUCCGAUUAGUUUUUGGAUAUGGUUGCCCUCAUUGACAUCAUCCAAGACAAUUAGCAUUCAUCAAUGUUAUCAAUUUCAUUAGUCACUCUAGAAUAAGAGAUAUUCGACAGUAAUUUUUCUUGUAGUUGGACAACGCCCUUUGUUUUUGGCGUUACCCUCACGUCAUCAAGAAAGUUGCAGUUUUUCCAAAAGCGAGGAUAUAGCUGGUUGAAGAUAUCCUUGGCGGGUUCUGAUCUAUCGAUGCUGCCCACCCUGUAGAUUCCAGUGAAUUGCACAAUACCAAAACUAAUGUCUUAUACAGUGUUUAUGGCUGCUAUUCAAUCCUCCGUUCUAACUAAAUCUUCGAUCACUUGUCUUUGUCUUGCAUUGAGCCUAACCACAAUCUCAUUUACAAUCGACUUGAUAAGAUUCCCAUGGCUGCCACAAAGUCAGUCAAUUUCAAAUGAGAAAAGGAGACAAAUUUGCACGUGGACAAAGCCUUUACAUAUAUCGAAGCCCGAAUCUACCUCAAUUGAUUUCAAAUGCGCAGCUCAUGUUUGCCAAAUUUCAGUCAUUCUUUUGCAUUGCACAUUUUAGAAACAAAAACAUUACGUUCAUUAAUGGGAAGAGUUUUAUUACAUUCUUAAUGUGAAAAUCUUCUCCACAAGAUCAUCCUCCUUCAAAAAUUUACAAAAGAAGAACAAAUGUGCGUCGUUAGAAAAGGAGAAAAGGACCCACGAAGAAAUUCUUGAUUUGAAUUCCCAAAGCUCGAUGCCAGUUUCGUUAGUGCGGGACAUCAUUUUGGACACUUGUAUCGCGUGACUCACGGGAUUUAAUUGAAAAUUAUGGAUAGACAACUUCACAAUAGCUGCAACUUUUAAUUUAUAGUCAAUAAAGUCGAUGGCUUUCGGGAAAAUGAAAUAGAGGACAAUUAUGAAGGCGUAUCUUUCACCGGACCAAUUUCUUUUGAGUUUCUUCUCGGUGCCUUUGAACUUUUGAAUUAAAUAAAAAUCUGAUUUUCAAACGUUUAAAUCAUUUAUAAUUAUUCUAUAGCUAUUACUAUGGUUAAACAUGUUUAUAUAGAUAAAAUCACAAUUUAUCUAUAUAAAUGCAUAAUAAAAAAUUCUAAAGAAUCCCUUUCAUCAUGACACAUGGAAUUAUGGAUAAUUAGAAGAUAUUUCUUCGUAUCAUUGAGAUUGGAUUCGCUGCAUUCACUAUAAAAAAGUGCUCCACCUAAGCAUAUAUUUACUAUGAAAUAUUUGUUUGAUCUCUUUGCCUUAAAGACAUACCUUUUAUAAUUAUUAAUUACUUUUAACCACUCAAAUAUUGUCAUAAACGUGCUUUUAAAUAUUAAAAAGCAAAUCUUUUACAACACUAAUUUCCUUAUUGAGAACUAUUAGAACGUGGGCAUGGUGUAGUUAGUGCUAUCAGCCAAACCAAAUUAUAUAAAUGUGGAAAUAUAUCUCCAGCCGGAACCUGAUCAAGUUAAGAUCGGACGAGAAUUAUAGAGGCUUGACCUCUAUUCAAGAGUGGUGAGAGGAAAUGCAAUGAGGGCCCGUCCAUAGCAAUGAUACCAUCCCAUCGUGUCGUUGCUUGGAGCGUGGAAAGAAAGGGAGAGUAUGAUGGUCUGGACCACGAGGGACGACUUUGCUCAGCUAAACAAAGGGAAAAGAGAGAUUGAUGAUGGGACAAAAGGGUAAGGAAAAACGACGAAGAAAGUUGCAAUAAUGGUGUCUUUUAACAAUGGCCACUCAUUGUUUCCUUUCUUCUUUAUUUGCUUAUAGUCUUUAAAUUCGAAGAGAUGAGAGCUCCGAGGACUGCACAGAGGAGACUGAAAAUUUCCUCUUAAGGGUAUGAUUUAGAAAGGUUUUCUUCGUGAAAUUACAGAAAAUGAAGCCGAUUAAAUCUUGUCUUAAUUUUUUAUAUCAUUCUCUUAUGAAAUUGAUAAAUUAUUUCGAGAGAAGCUGUGAGGGUUAAAGACAGAGUUAUUAGUUGUAUUUGAGGAUGAAAAACACCAAGAAUAUCUAAGUGCUUCGAAUAUGACCUUAAUAUCCAUUACUUUGUUUUAUCUAUAAAGGAAAUGUAUACUGAUUUUCCCGUGGACGUCCGAUUCAUUUCCUUAUUUUGCGCAUUUUUUUUAUCCUUUGUUUUAUUUUCAAUAAUAAAUGUGGUUUUACAAAAAUAGAAAAAAAACCAAACCAUAUUUUAGUCAAACCAUUUUCUGCGGCUUGAUCCGGCUUAAUUGUUGUUUCUUCUUUCAAUUUAUCUCUUCAUCAUUUGAAAUUUCAUGAGAAGAAACCAAAUUCUAUGUUGAGACCCUUCCGAGGUGAGAUCCCCAAGGAAGUUGUCGGAUGGCCAAGCAAGUGCAAAUGGUCCCUGUUGCAAGGCGACGCUUGCUCUUGGCAUGAUAGGUCUCAACUUGGUUAUUUGAUUAAGAGUCACAACUAAUUUUUUGAAGCAAAUAGGAGUUAAGUAGAACGCGGGAGCCGCCUUACUUCUACAAAUCGGAGAUUUGUGAGUCUAAAGACUUGAUUAGGCUGGAUAUAUCUAAAGCCCAAUUUGGUACUUUUUUUUUUCUCUUUUUAAAAAAACAAUUAUUCAUGCAGUCUUUCCAAUUUUAGUUACCAUUUUUAUUCUCAAUGUUGAGCAAGGCAAGUGAUCUCGCAUAAAUUCACUCAAGCAAACACAUAUAAAUCCAACAAUACCGAAACAAAUCUAGCAAUAAAAGGUACGAAAAUAAAGAACCCGAGCUGAGAAAAAAAUCAAUACAAAGCCUUGUUAUUAAGUUCCGGAAUAGGACCCCUUAAGCUAUAAAUAGACACUCAUUGUAAAAUAUAAAUAUGGCCCAAAAAUGGAAAGUAAUAAAUGAUACUUCCUGAAUAUAACUAGAUAAACUACUUUCCUAAAUGAACUAUGCAUCUAGAAGUAAAACCUACUUAAUGCAAUCUAAAGCGCNNNNNNNNNNNNNNNNNNNNNNNNNNNNNNNNNNNNNNNNNNNNNNNNNNNNNNNNNNNNNNNNNNNNNNNNNNNNNNNNNNNNNNNNNNNNNNNNNNNNUUAUGAAUAUACAUGAUUUCUAAAAUACAUUGCCAGAUAUAUAUAUUUUAAUGAAAAUGCAGUUCAUCUUUUUCUUUUCUUUUCCCCUUCUUUAUAUAUAUUAUAGUGAACCGAAAUUAAACAAAAAAUUUACUAAGCGCUGAAAUAAAUUUGAACUAGAAUCUGUAUGCAAAAAUAAUAUGUAAUAUAAACCCGGAUUUUCAUGAAAAUUUGCACUACGUUCACUUGGAAUUUUUUUUUUUUUUGGGUCUAAACGUUCACUUGGAAUUUUAACCUUAAAAUUCUUCCAAGAACGAGUCAUUGCACACCAGAAAUAAUGAAAACUAAAGUGACAUAAUGCUAUGAAUUACAUCGAAACUGAUCCACACUAUGCGAAAAUCAAUCGUGGAUGAAUACAUCUAUACAAAUUCCCCAUUUUCUCUCUUCCGCUUUUUACAUUUAACUGAAGGCAUGCCUGCAAAAAAAUUAAGUCAUCCUUGAAUUUAUACUUAAGUCCCCUGAAAUUUGAAACACUCUUAUCCUUGCUGGCAACAAGUAUUCUAGUACCAUAAUACAAAAAAAAAUUCACUCUGAUUAGUUUUUGAAUAUGGUUGCCCACAUCGACAUCAUCCAUUAUGAUUAGCAUUAUCAAUGCUAUCGAUGUCACAAGUCACCCUAGAGUAAGAGAUAUUGGACAAUAAUUUUUCUUGUAGCUAGACUAAGCCCUUAGUUUUUGACGUUUCCCUCGUGUCAUCAAAAAGCAAGCGAGGAUAUAGCUUGUCAAAGAUAACCCUGGGGGGUGCUGUUUUACUAAUGCUGCCUAUCCCCUAGAUUCGAAUGACUGCACGUUACCAUAACCGGUGUCUAAUAAAUUGUUUGUGGCUGCUAUUGGAUCCUCCAUUUCAACAAAAUGUUUGAUCACUUGUCUUUGUCUUGUCUCGAGCCUAACCACAACCUCAUUAACAACUGACUUGAUAAGAUUCCCAUAGGUGCCACAAAGUUAGAUGGUUUCAAUUAAGAAAAUGUAACAAAUUUGCAUGUUGACAAACCAUUUACAUAUAUUAGAGCUCAAAUUUGCCUCGAUUCAUUUUGAAAGCGCAACUAUUGUUUGUCAAAAUUUAGCCAUUCUUUUGGAUUACAUGUUUUAGAAACAAUAACAUUACAUUCAUCAAUGGGAAGAGUUUUAUUACAUUCUUAAUGUGAAGAGCUUCCCCACAAGAUUAUCCUCCUUCAGAAAUUUACAAAAGAAGAACAAGUGCGUUUCAAUUAGAAAAGGAGGAAAUAAUACACGAUGAAAUUCUUCAUUUGAACACUCAAAGCCAUAUGCCACCUUCAUUAGUGAGAGACAUCAUUUUGGACGAUUGGAUUGGGUGACUAACGGGAUUUAAUUGAAAGUUAUAGACAUGCAAUUUCAUAGUAGCUGCAGAUUUUAAUUUAUAGUCAAUAAAGUUGAUGGCUUUAGAAAAAAUGAGAUGGAGGACACUUAUGAAGGUGUAGCUUUAGAGGCCCAAUUUCUUUCGAAUUUCUUCUUGGUGCCUUUGGACUAUUGAAUAAAUAAAAGUCUGAUUUUCAAACGUUUAAAUCAUUUACAAUUAUUCUAUAGCUAUAUCUAUGGUUAAACAUAUUUAUAUAGAUAAACUCAUAAUUUAUCAAUAUAAAUGCAUGAUGACAAAAUAUUCCUAAAGAGUCCCUCUCAUUAUGACACAUCGGACUAUGGAUAAUUAAAGGAUUUUUCUUCAUAUUAUUGAGAUUGGAUUUGCUGCAUUCACCACCCAAAAAAGAGAGAGGAAAUGCCACUAAAAACCCCAAACUUCGCCCAAGUGACAAAUUUACCCUAAACUUUUUUUGUGACAUGAAAAACCCUAAAUUUUGCAAACCGUGACACAUUUACCCCCCACCAAGGGCAUUUUCAUUUUUUUUUCCCUUCUUCUUCUUCUCCUCUCUUCCCUCGGCCGGCCAUGGCGAAAGCCAAUGGAGGGAAGCCGGAGUCAGGCAAGGGACGCCCUCGCUGACGUUGAGCGAGGGUGGCCCUCAGCUGGGUUAGGCAAGGGCCUCCUUCCCUAGAUCUGGCAAGGGUGGCCCUCAUUUGCGUUUGGUGAGGACGGCCUUCACCCGACGCCGACAAGGGCUUGGCAAGGGAGGCUCUUGCCGGACCCAAUUGAGGGCUGCCCUCACCUAAUGUUGGCGAGAGCAGCCCUAGCCAGCCCAGGUGAGGGCAGCCCUCGCCUGACUCUGGCUUCCCUCCACCAUGGCUGGUGGAGGGAAGAGAGAAGAAGAAGAAAAAAAGAAAAAAAAGUAACAUACCAACAUGCCCUAUAGUUUAUGGUAAAUGUGUUACACGAAAAUAUAAGUUCAGGGUCUUUUGUAUAAUGAAAAAAAAUUUGGGAUUAAUGUGUCACGGUUGGCAAAGUUCAUGAUUUUUCAUGUCACAAAAAAAAGUUUGGGGUAAAUUUGUCACUUUGGGCAAAGUUUGAGGUUUUUUUUUUAUGGUGUUUCCUAAAAAAAAAAAAAAAAAAACUCCACCUAAGCUUAUUCUUACUACUCACUAUGAAAUAUUUGUUUGAUCUCUUUGCCUUAAAGAUGUGCCAUUUAUCAUAAUUAAUGAUCUUUAACUGCUCAAAUAUUAUCGUAAACGAGCUUUUAUAUUUAAAAAACAAAUCUUUUAUAACACUUAUUUCCUUAUUGAGAACUAUUAGAAUGUGAACGUGGUGUAGUCAGGGCCAUCAGCCAAAUCAAUUACGUAAAUGUGGAGAUAUUUCUCGAGCCAGAGCCUGAUCAAAUCAGAUCGGAGGAGAAUUAUGGUCGCUCGACCUCUAUUCAAGAGUGGUGAGAGGAAAUGCGAUGAAGGCCUGUCCAUAGCAAUGAUGCCAUCCCAUCAUGGUGUUGCUUUGAGAGUGGAAAGAAAGGGAGACCAUGAUGGUCUCGACCAUGAGAGACAGCUUUGCUCAGCUGAAGAAAGGGGGAAGAGAAAUUGAUGAUGGAACAAAAGGGCAAGGAAAGCGACGAAGAAAGUUGAAAUAAUGGUGUCUUUUAAUGAUGGCCACUCAUUGUUUCCUUUCUUCUUCUUUAUUUGGCUCUAGUAAAUUCUGUCUGAAUUCGAAAAGAGGAGCGCUCCGAGGACUGCUCAGAGGAGAUUGAAGAUUUCCUCUUAAAGGGUUUGAUUCAGAAAGGUUUUCUUCGUCAAAUUACACAAAAUGAAGCCAAUUAAAUCUUGUCUUAAUAUUGUAUGAGAUUGAGAAAUUAUUUCGAAAGAAAUUAUGAGGGUUAAAGACAGAGUUAUUAAUUAUAUUUAAGAAAUGAAAAAUUACCAAGAGCAUAUAAGUGACAUUAAAAAAAGAGAAAAGGAUACACGAAGAAGUUCUUGAUUUGAAUGCCCGAAGCCCGAUGCCACUUUUGUUAGUGCGAGACAUCAUUUUGGACGUUUGGAUCGCGUGACUCAUGGGAUUUAAUUGAAAGUUACGUAUAGGUAACUUCACAUUACCGGGAAAAUGAUGGCUCGGAAAUGGGAGGCUCGCCUUCGGCCGCCUGUGGCUUUCUCAACAGUGUUGCGUCGAUUUCCAACGACUUUGAAGAGAUUGGAGAUGGCCGGAAAUUCUUCUGUGUCUUUUUUUUUUCUCUCAUUUUUUAAGUCUGUCAUAUUUCGGGCCAAACCCAGCCCAAAACUAAAUUGAUGCCUAUCCAAGAGGACUUGUUUAGGCCCCAACCCUUCAACCGGGCCUGAAGUUGAUCGGGCGGGGCGUAUUUUUCAAUAAAAAAGCCACCCAUUUGCAACUAUACUUCCGAUUACUAGACGCCAAAGGAACUCACGAACUCAUUGCUACACCAUUCUUUAUCUGCCGUAGACAAACAAGCAUUCCUAUUCUGUAACAUAGAAAUGGCAACAAUUUAUUGCUUAUGCCCAUUCAUGAUGAAUACUUUCCCCAAAAUUCAAUCAACUAAUAUUAAAUUAACCCCAAUAACAACUAAUCACAAUAUUCCAGCAAUAUUAACCCUAAAGCAGUAAAGAUAGUGCUGAAUAUUAAAGCAAGGGAAAACCAACACCUGUAAAAUUUUACGUGAAAAACACAAUGCAGAAAACAUCACGAGACCAGUAAAAAUCUUCCGCUAAUCACCAAAAAUAGCAUAAUACAUAAUAGUUCAUCUCAAAGAACACAGUUAGAGGCUCUUUCACCUAAACAAAAUAUUAUCACCACAAAAGUGGAUUAACAUAAAGAAGUAAGAAAGAUCUAACCGCUACCAGACAAAAUCAGGAGACAACUUGGAGAAGAUUUUAACAAACACAACCGAUCAACUUGUAGAUCAUGGACUCACAAACAGCAUAUGAAAUUUUGGCCAAUUCCGACAAAGUUUCACUAUUGAAUUUAGACUACCUCUUCUCUUCUUCAAAGCAAAGCUCUUUCCCUCUUUUUCUCUAUAACAACGAAUUGUUCAUCCCUCUCUUCUAAAUCAAGAACAUUCAGCCCUAUCAAUUCUUUUUCUUUUUUAUUUUAUUUAACAUGAUGAGAUGAGCCCCACAAGAGGUGGACCCAACCCAACAAACAUCCUCUUCACCUUAUGAAGAAGUUUCAUUAUGCCAGCAUUAUCAAUACAGGAAGCAAGUUUCACCAUUGGCAAGGUUUUACUCAUCAUAUUGGAUCCAUUAUCAUUAGUGUAGACUUUCUCAAGUAAGAAAAGUUUAUCAUCUAAUUUAUCUCGGAUCCAAUGACAAGGAUAAAGCAUUAGUCUGGAUAAAGCAACCAGAUGCAAUUCUAGUGAACAUCACUCUAUCUUCAGCAAUAUGACAUGGAUAAAGUCGCGACAUAAAGCAUCCCGCAUAAUGCUGUCUUGUAUUUGCACGAAUAGAUUUGAUCUUGUCGGGGGCAAGACUGCUCAUCUCUAACUAAUAACAGCAGCUACCAAAGAGUUUAUAUAUCUAGAGCAGUAUCAUGAUUCACUCUCUAAGGACAAACACCCUCUAGAAAUGGAGAGAUCAGUUUCCUAUAUCUUCUUUAGUUUGCUUGCAAACCAUAAAUGGUGGAAGUUGAGAUCCAUGGAGUAACCUGACAAGCCAAAGUUUCAAGCCACUAAAACAUGUGUGUUUACUGUAGUGUCUCUUUUAUUACGUAACCUUUUGUUUUGAUAGGGCAUUUUUUCAAAACAUACCAAAACCGACAUCAAAGGCACUUUUAGAGCAAUAAUAUCAGAUUAUAUUAGUGUUGUGUUUAUCCUAGACUAUGUUGGUACACAGCUUCGGGGAAAUUGAAUGAAAUAUCGACCGACUAAAUUAAAGUUCAAUGCAACCAAAUGCUAGGCUCUUAAGAAAUACUCCCCAGUAGAGAGACUUGUCGAUUAAGAAAUUUAGCUGAAGCUCUCUCCAUUUUACUUUUACACUAACGGCAGGCUGACCAAUAAUAUAAAGUUUCAUUCAAUCAUAUUAUGUUAAAUAUUAUCUCCUUAUAACCAAAUGCAGCCAGUCAAAGUCAAGUGAAGAAUUCAAUAAUAAUUAUGCUUCAUUUGUUUCACGAAAAAUAAAUGAUUUGGAAAAUAAUUUCUAAAAAAAUGAUACAUUGUAUUUCUUGAAAUAAUUAGUCAAUAAAUAAUGUUUUCAUUAUUAAUAAUAAUCUUAUAUCUAAAAAUUUUGGUGAAUGAUAAAGAAAAUAUUCUAUCAUUUAUUUUUAUAAGCGAUACAAGUAAUUGUAAGUGAUAUAAAUAAUAUUUUUUGAUAUUUUAAAUUAUUCAUUCUUGUGAAACAACAAGAUAACGAAAUAAUAUUUAGCCAAAGAAAAUGGGUAAUUGGGCCCAGUUUUCGUUGGCCCAAAAAUUCUCUUGGGCUAAAUGAAACCUUCGUCCCUCACGCUGACGAAAGAAAUUCUCAUCUUUCAGUCGACUUGAAGAGCAUUUUUGGUUCUAAAUCGAGCUCAAACCUUCGUUUCCGCUACUCAUCUUCGUUUUCAUCUAAGGUCUUCGGGGAGCUUCUGUGAGCGUUUUUCACUACUAAUCGUUACACCGCCGCUUUUGUUCUUCAAUUUGAUAUCUAUUUUGCUUUUUUAAGCCAGUUUUCGUUGAUGUCGCGACUGUUUCUUGCUGAUUGGAUCGUCUUCGACCUGGGGCUGGAUGGUUUCUCGCUCGGGUGGCAAGAAAAUGUCGGAGAUCUCUUGUGGUGAUCGAGAUAGAUAGUAGUGUAAGAAGGUGAGAUGAAGAUUUAAGAAAUGUUGUGCCGUAGGUUUGUUCCAGCCGUAAUUGCGAAUGGGUGUCCGUGGAAUUACUUCCGUUGGACGUGCUUGUUUGUCUGUCUAAAUGGCGUGCUUUCUUUGAACUGGUGAUUAUUUUGUGCUUGAGUCAGAAAUUGGGAAUGCGAGCAAUUUGAGCAUGGACUCAUCUUCUCCAAUUGGGAAAAGAGAUGUCCCUAGUUCCCUUUCUUCCAUAUUAUUGUACAUGUGAUUGUUCCAAACAAAGUCUAACACAAUCUGUUGUUAAAUUUAUAGGAUCGUUACGAUCCUUGAUGACCUCACGAAAUUUUGUGAUGGGACAUGCUUAAGAUUUGAUUCCGUGUUCAUUGAUAUGUGGUGUCUUACUGGAAGAUGGGCGAGCUCGCUGGCGAUGAACAUCUCAAGUACAUACUGUGUUGAAAAGGUAGGUAUGAAAUUUUUACUACUCUCUUCUUGUUCUCUUGUCCACUUUCUGCCAGUUACUGAAAAUGACUUGGUUUAUCUGGAUCUGCUACUAUUCAGCAUUUUGGAGUUUACUAAUUUGAGUUUCUGGGUUUGAUCUUGCACUCAGAAAAAGGAUAGUUUUGAGUCAUUGAUUAUGGAGCACUUGAGCUUGAAUGGAGCAUUUUGGGGAUAGAACACUCUAGAUCUUCUUGGAAAACUUGGCACUGUGGAUUCAAAUGAAGUUGUUUCUUGGAUCCUGUAAUGCCAGCAUCUGUCUGGUUCGUAUUUUUUUGUCUCUCGGCUUCUUUUUUGGGAUUACCCACCAAAAACAUGUGGCUGACGGAACCUCCACUCCACAUUCAGUCAAGUUUUUCUUAUUUGACAGUAUGCUUAAGAUAUUAGCUUGGGAUUGACAAGUUCCAUCUAUUACAUUGAUGACCACAUCUUAGGAGGGAUUAGUGUUGCUUUAUUUAUUUAUAUUCUAAAACUUGACUCUAAAGAGCAAAGUGCAAAUGACACUUAGGGCCUGCUUGUGCAGGUGGCUUUGGUGCCAAAUAUUGGACAUGAUCCGCAUCUGCUGUAUGCACUCAGAGCCGUGCAAGUACUGGCCCUUUAUGACAAAUUAGAUGUUUUUGACAUCAAUAAUGUGACAGAUUGUAUCCUUUGGAAUAAAGUGUCUUAGAUUCGCAACUUCCUUGAUGAUCUUACCUUAGGCUCUGUUUUGCAUGUAAAAGGUCAGAUUAUGUUAUGGAAUUUUAUAGUGUGUAUAUUGCUAGCCAGACAUUGAUGGAGAUUGAAGUUGCUACUGUUGGAUUAUCUCUGGUAUCAAAUGUUCUACAUUGUUGUGCCUGAACGAAGAUGAAUCUUUUUCUGGGGAUAUAUGCGGAGAAGUUGAUGCUCGGUGUACUGUCCUCAUCUUUGAUCAAUUAUUAUUUUUGUGCUUCUUGAGGAUGUUUCUUAAAUAAUUGACAUCCCUUCACCCCUUUCUUCCCUUCGAAGGUUCUCUCAAUGUGCUAUAUGCUGUCUUGCAAUACUUAAACGGUUGGAUUCGAUAAAUGUGGAGAAUGCUGUCAGAUAUAUAGUGAGUUGCAAAACUUUGGAUGGCGGGUUUGGUUGCAUUCCUGGUGCAGGGUCUCACCUGAAAUGAUAUCAUUGCACGCAGCCUUCGCUUCCAUCUUGAUGGUAUAAUCAUGGCGUAAACCACUGAUGUCUAUCUAAGAUAUCCCAAGACAACGCACUAAUGUCCUUGCUCUCUCAACUAAUCUAGCUGGUAGUAGUUAACAGUUGGAGAAAACCAUCUGGUCUAGCUAUAUCUACAGGGAACUAUUCGUUGCCAAAAUGCCAACUAAAAUGCCAGAAUCUCACCAUACUAUCACAAAAGGUAAAGAAACUUCAGAGUUGCCUAAGUUAUUAUUAAGCUACGAUCUUCACAAGACAAUGAUCUCCUUAGGAUUGGUAAGAUUAUAGUCUCAUAUAAGUUGAAUACAGUUUAAUAUUGGUGACAGUGUAUUUCGAGAAUGUAAACUCGACUGUAAGGCAUACUUAUUGAAUUUCAUAAAUCAUCUGUUUCGAAUAAUUUUUCUUUGCAAUUCCUAGGAUCCUAUAAUGUGCGGUUCAAGAAGUCUAUAUUCGGGACACAGCAGGUCCACAAUUGAUGGCAAGUUUUCCAAUCUGAAUAACCUUAGGACUUAGUAAAGUAGUAAUUAGGAGAUUAACAAAACCGCUUAAAUCCUCGAAUGCUUUGCUAACUGAGCAAGUAAACACACUUCAAACGUGUAAAACCCGCAAUGAGCAACGAUCGCAAAAUGCAUUCUCAUAAGCAGCCACGGAGGGCCCCAGUGAAUUGCAGUUCUCUCCUCUCCUAGCUAAGCAAUAACGGAAGUUCCUCCAGUCCACUGUCCUACCCUUGAAGAGCAAAUCUAGCAACCCAACCAAAUCUAGCAAGUAUGUCAUAACCUCAUGCUGAGCUCUUUCACGGGUUUCUAAUAUCUGAUUGGUGCAUAGUAAGUCGUGUAUUUGCUUAAAUACAUAGUGGUCUUCUAAUUAUGCUCCAAUGAACACAUCCAAAAGAUAAAACCGAGUCGCCACAGUUUUAAGACAUUCUUUAGGACUCAUCUUAGAAGAGAGAAAGUACAAAGGAAUUGAUGAUUUCCACUGGAGAAUUAGGCAUAAAACAAUGAAGGACCAAGCAAGAAAAUUAAGAAGCACAAGAGCCUGACCAAGCACCUUGCUACUAAGUGGCUCACUUUUCUCUCUUCUUUCAAUUCAAAUAAGAAAAUAUUUGCAAAACAGAGAACUGGAACGUGGGAGUAAUCAUGAAGCGAUAAGAUUUGGUGUUUCUACUUCAACGGAUAACAAAACCUGUGUGUAUUUUGUGUAGCCAAUUGUCGAGUCGAUCACGUAGUAAAUUUGACCUGUGGAAUCCUCAACCAUAAGCAGCAGACCUCAAAUUAGCAAUGGAAACCAAAACUGCCCAAAACAUGAAAGAAAAAAAAAAAAAACCGGACAUCCCAUUUUAAUUCUACAUGAUGAACCAAGAAGAGAAGCACUAGUUACUUCUUUUUCAAUCAUCAAGAGCUCCUCACAGGUAAUAGACAGCUCCUCACAUGUAAUAAAGAGACUGUGGAUACUCAUUAAAGCGACCAUUAACCAAACCUUAGAAUAUACUUAUAGACAAACUCUUCAAGAGAAGAUGCUCAACAUCUUGUGCACAUGAAUACGCUCAAUCGAACAGUCCACAAAAGCAUAGUAACAUAACUAGACUAGGCAUACAGACCCUUAUACAACUAUUAGCAUAUGAAGCUAGAGCUAGAGCUCAAGCUCAUGCUUAAUAUUUAAAGAUAAAUCACACAAUUACAUUCAACUAAACACCAACUGCCACACCAAAAAACACACCCAAAAAAAAAAAAAAAACCCAACUGCCCCACCACUCUUACCUGUUCUUCAGUGAUUAGCUAGUGAUCCAGAGCUCAGGUCCAUGACUCCCGCCACUGAUGAAAUUAAUGAAUGCACCAAAUUCCUCCAGCUGAGCGGCACUAAAGAAGAAAAUGUGCACUAGAGUGAAAAGUGGCACUGGAGAAGGACUUGAAGCUCACAGACCUGGAACUUGAAGCUCGCGAAGAAGGACUUGAAGCUUGUGGGCGACGAAGAAAGAAGAGAUGAUGGCAACCGACACGGCCAACGACGGACUGAAGUUCGAGAGGAGCGAGUAGCAUCGUGGAUUGAAUGACAGCGAUUUGCUUGUGCAGCGAGAGAGAGGAAGAAGAAAACAUGAAAAAGAACCCUAAUCCCAAUUCAAUCCAUCGUUCACGAAUAAUCAUCCAACUUUCUUUUCCCUUUUUGUUUUGCCGACUCUGUCUGCAGAAGGAAACGAUAAGUGAGUUGAGGUGAGGUCUCUUGGGCCUAAAAAUUUCUCUUAAGAAAGGCCCUUUUGUUAUGGAUGGUGAGGGAUGUAAGAUCCCCAACCUCGCCACCGAAGUGGACACACACAACAUAUGGAGCUUCCCAGUAAGAUGGGAAAUUUAAUAAGAUUUUUCUUGGUUGCGCGUUUUAGAAUCAGUUCAUUGUCUCUCUUCACUAGACUAAAGCAGAAAUAGAAAGCAAGCAAAGCAGAAGAAAAAACGUAUGAUCUACGAAUAGAAAGAAGGCGCACCGUUUUCUGUAGAGGAUCCCCUGUUUCUGUUUCAGAGUUCGUUGUUUCAAUUUCAGAGCCGCGCUUGCUUUUUUCUGCUCAAAAUCUUCUCUCUGUAAGACUCCCAAGUGUCGAAAUAUUCAGUGUAGCCAAGUUCACUAUCGUCUUCACUAUCGUCUUCACUAUCGUCGGAUGACUUCUCGCGUGGUAUGAGUAUCUCGCAAUUUUCUGGUUCUUUUGAGCUCAAUACAUCAAAAAUCCUUUCGAAUAUGCACCCACUAAUUUCCAAGGAACAUGAAGACUUUAGUUCGUAAAUGCCCUCAAUAUGCUGCAGGCUGGGGCACUGGUCAAUCUUUAUCCGCAAGUUCUUCAAGUUUGACAAACUGCCUAUCCUUUUUAACGAAGAGCACUGGUCAAUCUCUAACUGCUUCAAGUUCUUCAAGUUUGACAAACCGCCUAGGCUUUUUAACGAAGAGCACUCAUGAACGUAAAUUUCUUCCAAUGAUUUGAACGUAGAAUCAAAUUGAAUAUCCUGUACCUCAUGGGACCCCGACAGACUGAACCUUCUAAGCAUCUUUUGGGAGCUUGGGAAAAGGAUCGCUUCCCUCCUAUGGUCAGUCAACUCGGGAGCUUGUAGUUCACUUUUCCCCCGCUCCUCCGGGUGACAAACCUUACUCUUGGAAGAUCUGCGGAUUUUUGAGCUCGAAGCAUCAAAAAUCCUUUCCAAUGAUCUGCACCCCCCAAUUUCCAACCAACGCAAAAACUCCAGUUCGUCAAUGCCCUCAACAACCUUCAAGCUCGGGCACUGGUGAAUCUCUAACCGCUUCAAGUUCUUCGAGCUUGACAAACCGCCUAAGGUUUUUAAUGAAGAGCACUCUUUAACAGAAAAUUCUUCCAAUGAUUCUAACGGAGAAACAAAUCGAAUAUCCUGUACCUCUGGGAACCCCGACAGACAGCAUUCUAUGAGCAUGUUAAGGGAGCUGGUGAAAAGGAAGGCUUCCCUCCGAUGAUCAAUUAACUUGGGAGCUUGUUGUUCGUUGCACCUCGGCUCCUCCGGCUGACAAACCAACCUCUCGGAAGAUCUGCAGUCCUGAAUGCGUGAUCUCUCCAACGAUUCUAAGACAUCGGGAAAUUGAACAUCAUGUUGCUCGCACACCUUGUUUUCUCUCGAUUUUCUCAAUGGAGGAAGCCCGUCAAGGUGUUCUUGUUUCCCUCGAGUUUCGUAGAGCUUUAAAAUUAUCAAGUUUGACGGAAGCUCUUCAAAAGUUGGCAAGUCUAGUCCAUGUAGAGUAAGUUCUUUCAGCUGAGAAAGGGAAGACAGCUCUGUAGUUGGUGCGCGGACAUUUGGAAAGCGAAUGUGCAGCUUGCUCACUUUGGUUAAACUCCCAAUCCACCCCAAGUUGCCAGUUUGGAAUUCAUUUGAUGGGUGUCUAUGUCCAUAGCGACCAGAUAGGAACAGUUCAACUAGAUUAGUAAGGUAUGAGAGGUUAGGGACAGUCUGCAAUGAAUCAGAUGCCCAUUGUAGAGUGGUCAAACUUCUGGGGAGUUCCGGCAGUUCUUCAAUUUUUGUGGCUGAUGCAUUGAUAAAUAACAGGCUUCGUAGUCUACCAAUGGAAUUAGGUAAUCUUGAAAUACUUGUGCCAAAUACAUCCAGUUUCAUUAACUUCUCUAAUUUUGAAACUGAGUCAGGAAGUUCAAUCAGGUCAAAACAACUAUUAAGAGAGAGAUGUUGCAGAUUCUGUAGCUUUCCAAUCUGUUCAGGCAAUUUUCUCAGUCUGUAACAGGAUUUAAUUAUCAAGUGAGUCAGCCACUUUAGCUUCCCAAUAGAGUGGUCAAUUCGCAUCAAAGACCAAAAUGAAGAAAUAGCCAACUCCUCUAAAACUGAGUCCUCAGGAAAGGUUGGUAUCUCAUUUAUCAACCCAUUGUACCUAAUAGUGAGAACCUUCAAUUUCCUUGCCCCCUACAAAAGCCAAUGAAACAUCAGGACCAAAAAGAAAUAAAUAUGGAUGUAGGCUACCAACGAGAAAAUUAGAUUAUAAAUCCAUCAUAUUUUGUCCUUCGUUGAAUGAGAAAAUUAGACUCAGAGGGAAACUGGCAUACCUCGAUUAGGCUUUGAAGCACAUCUUCUGUGAUAUCAAGCCCACUAAGAUUCACCACAACUGCGUUUUCUAGAUGCAACAGAUUGGUUGCCUCCAAACGUUUAUUGGAGGGGGCAUGGGUACGAUCAAAAUAACUGUAACUCAAAUCGAUCAAUCUCAAAUCGGAAAGACAGCCCGUAAAGUCACCUUGGCAGAUUACCUCACGCAACCAAAGAAUCCGCAAAUGCGGGAACCGCUUAAUUUGCUCCGAAGUGAUGAUUUCAUCAUCUGCCCACAAACGAAGAGAUUGAACGCUUCCCUUAAUCUGCCAAUGACAUUGAGGAGCAGAAGCAGGAAUUUGUCAAUAUCCCCCUAUGUUAUUUCUUAGAAGAGAAGAAAAACCGAAACAAAAGAGUGGCUACCAAAUAAAAAACGGGAAUCCUCAAUUAAGAAGAGGGUAUAAACAAUUUCUAUUCAAAUUUGGCCAUACUUUACCUCUGUUGAUCUUAAUUCGCGAAUGAUGUCAUCUUUAUCCCACAAUCUAGCACCCUCUUUUUUGGCAAUUGCUCUUCCAAGAUCUCUAAACUGAUCAUGCAUCCCAAAUCUAUCAUCAUCUAAAAAUAUCAUGCACCUCAUAGUAAGGAGCUUGAUGGCAAUCCUCACGGAAAACUGACAAUCUUUCCACAUGUACAUUGCAUUAGUCUUUUUCUGUCCAAUGAAAAAGCAUGCAAUAUCGAGGAAUAUUUUUUGUUGAUCCAAAUCUAAGGCAUCAUAGCUAAUCCUUAGCUUUUCCAAGACAUCAUUAUGAGGUGUUUUCUGUAGCUUCUCUAGCCACUCUCCCCAUAUUUCUUCUUCUUCCUCACCAAAAAGCGAUGAACCUAUUGCUUUAAGAGCUAAAGGUAGUCCAUUUGCAGUAGAGACAAUCCUUUCUGAAAGAGUGUAGUAAUUGCGUGGAGGAGAGUCGUCAUCGAAGGCAUGCUUACUAAAAAGUUGAAGUGCAUUUUCCUUGCUUAAUGGCACCAUUUCAUAUUCCUUGAAUUUACACUUUAAUCCCCUUUUAUUAUUCAGAAUACUCUUGUCCCUAGUAGUAACAAGUAUCCUAGUACCUCCUGGAUACAAUAUAUUCUCUCCAAUUAGGUUUUUGAUUUGGUCGGCUUUAUCAACAUCAUCCAAUACAAUUAGCAUCUUCUUCCUGCAAAUUUUUUUUUCAAUCAAACGAAUUCCAUGACCAAUGUUAAAAAUGUUAGGAGCCACUUCAGGAUAAUAGAUAUCGGACAAUAUUUUUUGUUGCAGCCUGACAAUGCCAUUGAUUUUUGCCAUUUCCCUCACGUUAUCAAGAAAGCUGCAAUUUCUCCCAAAGCGAUGACAUAGUUUGUUGAAAAUAGUCUCAGCAAGUGUUGUUUUACCGAUGCCGCCCAUGCCAUAGAUUCCAAUGAGCCGCACACCAUCGGAAUCAAUGUCUAAUAAAUCUUCUAUGGCCACUGCUCGAUCCUCCAUUCCAACUAAAUCUUUGGAUACUUUUAUUUCUCUUAUGGCCACUGUUCGAUCCUCUAUUCCAACUAAAUCUUUGGGUACUUUUAUUUCUCUUGUCUCAAGCAAGACCGCUACCUUGUCAACAAUCGCUUGGAUAACUUCUGUGUAGCUGCCACAAAGUUGAAUAGUUUCGAUUGAGAAAAGGUGACAAAUUUGCAUAUUGACCAACCAUCUACUAAGCAACCGGGUGGGAGCGUAAUCAAGUUUAGGAUAAAUCACAAUUCAACGUUAGCCCCCAAAGCUUUGGGAACAUGAUGAAUUACAAACUUGAACAUCCAUUACAAGUUUAAGGAAUAGAGUACGAGAAAUAUUUGAUUUUAUAUCAAGUAAUCGAAUCAAAAUUUCUAGCAAAAAGGGUAGAAGAAUCAAAAUAUAAACAUCUAAUGAAUUGCUGUAAUAGAAUAUUUACUUAUUUCUUUGGACGUGUAAAAGAACUUUGCAAAUGCAACAGUUCCAUAAUCAAGUUCUCUUGCAUACAAUGGGAAUCUUAAUACAUACAUGGAUCAAAGACGAAGCAAAGCCAAAUUUUUCAUACGAUGGAAAAUAGGUGAAAAACGAAAUUAUAAUAACCCUAUUGGGUCAGAAUUUUUUUUUGGAAAUCUCGUGAUUUACAAAAAUAAAAAGAAGAAUUUGAAACUUUCUGUUUAAAUUUGCAAAAACUAGAGUUGUAAUGUAAUUAAAUAAUUUUUAUAAGAAUUAUGGCCCAAUCGUACAAAAUAAUUUUCAGUCAUGGUUAGAUUGCUACCCUGGAUAUUUUGCCAACUCCCAUCCCUUGAUGCCACCAACUUCUUUGAGAGCCUGCUGCCAGGUCUGUAUAUCCUCGGAGUUGAACUUAUUCUUUUGACCCAAAUUCGAUAUGGCAUUCUUGUACAAUUCAGUUUUUAACUUCACGUCUUCGGGUUUCACGUUGUAGAAGAUGGGCAAUAUGACCUUCUUCUUCCCCUCUUCUUUAGAUUUAGCAGUGUUCUCCACCAUCUUCGUGAGCUCGUUGAGGCACCAGUGACUUGAAGCAUAGUCUUUGGAGAAGAUGGGUAUGUAGAGCUCGGAGUUGUCGAUUGCUUGUGGAAGGUUGUCACUAAUUCUUUCACCAAAUUGAAGUUCCUCAUCAUCAAUGAAAACACGAAACCCAACACGUAACAAGGCGUGGUAGAGGCUAUUGGUGAUGUACGGCGAGUAUCAGGUCCCCUAAAACUCAAGAACACGUGAUACAAACCUCCAAAUGUACUGCUGGUGCUUGUUCUGGUCUCUGGGCUUGCCAUAGGAGCUCACUUCACACUUAGCAGGUUCAGCCGUCUCUCUCUCUCUGAUUGACACUGUUGAAAUACUUCUUCCAUGCAAAUUCGCACAAAGCCUUGUGGUUCUCUGAAUGUGAAAAGCUUUAAUUACAUUCUUAAUGUGAAAAGCUUUCUCCACCAGAUCCUCCUCCCUCUAGAAUUUACAAAAAGAGAACCAGUGCGUUACAUCAAAAAAGGAGAAAAGGAUGUUUAACUAAUUGAAAGUUACGGACAGGCAACUUCGCAGCACCUACGGCUUUCAAUUUAAAGUCAAUAAAGUUGAUCAACUUUAGAAAAGAUGAGGUUAAGUUUCUCCUUCGUGCUUUUCCCUCUGUGCUUUUGAACUUUGGGAUUAAAAAAAAUUUGAUUCUCAAACAUUUAAAUCAUGCAUGAUUAUUCUAAAGCUAUAUCUAUAGUUGAACAUAUUUAAAAUCCCAAUCCGGUAUCGUAAAAUCACAAGGUAUCUAUAUAAAGUAAGAAGAUACUCCUAAAGAAUUAAAGCAGGUUUUGCUGCAUUCAAUUUAUCGGAUAAUUAGAAAAAAUUUCUCCAUACAUAGAGAUUGGAUUUGUAGCAUUCUCAACAACAAAUGCCACACCUAAGCACUACCUAAGCAUAUAUGAGAUAUUUGAUUUGAUGUCUUUGCCUCAAAGACUUACCUUUUAUUAUAAUUAAUGACCUUUAAAACUCUAAUAUUCUCAUAAAAUGUGCCUUUAUAUCAACAGGCAACUUCCCAAAAGAUGCAGCUUUUAAUUAAUAGUGAAUGAAGUUGAUGGCUUCAGAAAAAACCAGAUGAAGGACAAUUAUGGAGAUGUACCACUUUUUUCGGUCGGUCGAGAUGUACAAUUAUGGAGAUGUACCACUUUUUUUUUUGACAGCGGAGAUGUACCAUUUCACACGCCCAAUAUCUUUCGCCUUUCUUCUUGGUGCCUUUGAACUUUUGAAUUAAAAAAAACUCCAUUUUUCAAAUAUUUAAAUCAUUUAUAAUUAUUCUAUAGCUAUAUCUAUAAUUAAACGUAUUUAUAUAGAUAAAAUCACAAUCUAUAUAAAUGUAUAAUAACAAAAUAUUCCUAAAGAAUAUCUCUCAUUAUGACAUAUGAGACUUUGGACAAUUAGAAGAUUUUCCUACAAACUAUUGAGAUUGGAUUUGCUACAUUCACCACAAAAAUGCUCCACCUAAGCACUACCUAGCAGUAUGCUUACUACUCACUAUGACGUAUUUGUUUUGGUCUCUUCCCCUUAAAGACUUACAUUUUAUCAUAAUUAAUUACCUUCAACCCCACAAUAUUGCAAUAUAUGUGCCUUUAUAUCAAAAAGCAAAUAUUUUACAACACUUAUUGUCUUAUUGAAAACUAUUAGAAUGCAAGCAUGAUAUAAUUAGUGUGGUUUGGACAUCAGCCAAACCUAAUUAUAUAAACAUUGAAAUAUAUCUCAAGUCGGAGCGGGAUUAAACCGGAUCGAAAAAGACUUAUCGACACUCGACCUCUAAUCAAGAGUGGUGAGAGGAAAUGCAAUGAUGGCCUGUCCAUGGCCAUGGUGCCAUCCCAUCAUGGUGUUGCUUUAAGCGUCGAAAGAAAGAGAGACCGCCCUGGUUUUGACCAUAAGAGACGACGACUUUUUUUUUUUUUGUGCCGAAAGAACUGCUUUGAUUGACAGCCGCCACGUAAACCCUCAAAUGACGCUAGCCCAGAACCCACCACCAGGGCGCCACACGUAAUACACCUAAUAGUUUGCCAGCCUCUCUACAACUUGUGUUGUAGAGGCUUCGAACACCUGACUUUUCCCUUCAAAGACAGGAGCCUACUCAGUAAAGCCACCACACGGCCGGUGGUAUAAGGGACGACUUUGCCCAGCUGAAGAACGGGAAAAAAGAGAGAAUGAUGAUGGCCACCGCUGAUACGAGACAAAAGGGGAAGGAAAACGACGAAGAAAGUUGCAAUAAUGGCGUCAUUUAACGAUGGCCGCUCAUUGUUUCCUUUCUUCUUUAUUUGCUUCUUGUGAAUUUUCUCUGUGAAUACGAAGAGGAAGAGCUCUUAAUGAGAGCUCCGAGGACUGCACAACGAGAUUUAAAAUUUCCUCUUAAAAGUUUUGAUUCAAAAAGUUUUUCUUUAUGAAAUUACACAAAAUGAAGUCAAUUAAAUCUUGUGUUAACGUUUAGGUCAAUCUUUUUAUGCGAUUGAAAUAUUAUUUUGAGAGAAAUUAUGAGGGUUAAAUACAGAGUUAUUAGUCAUAUUUGAGGGAUAAAAAUACAAAUAAUAUUUGAGUAACUCAAGUAUUAUUAUAAUCUCCAUUGCAUUGUAAUUUCAUGGUUUUCAUUUCCUCAUGGACGUAGGUCACAUAACCGAACCACGCAAAUUUAGUGUUUGAUUCAUUUCCUUGUUUUACAUUUUUAUUCAAGCACUUGUUUUAUUUCCAACAAUAAAUAUGGUUUGAAGAAAAGUGAAACCAAAUUAAACCGUAUUAUAGUCGAGAUCAAACCAAGCCAAACCAUUUUAUGUGGUUUGAUUCGGCUUAAUCGUUUUUUCUGCUUUUAUUUUACCUCUUCAUCAUAUGUAAUUUCAUGAUUAAAAAAAAAAAAAAAAAAACAAAGUCUACGCCACAACCCUUCCGAGGCGAGAUCCCUGAGGAAGUUACCGAAUUAUCAAGUAAGCAUGAAUGGUCCCUUUUGCAAGGUGACGCUUGCUCUUGGCAGGAUCAAUCUCAACUUGGUUUCUAUUAAUUAUUUCAUUUGCUCAAGAGUCGCCAUUAAUUUUUUAUAAACCGAUUAGGAGUCAAGUAAAACACAAGAGCCUAUUUUACUUCUACAAACCGGAGAUUUGUGGGUCUAACGACUUGAUUAGGCUGGAUAUGUAAUGUGCAAUUAUUCAUGCGAUCUUCCAAUCUUAGUUACCCAUUCUGUUCUCAAUAUCGAGGGAAGAAGGCGAUCAUGCAUGAAAUCACUCAAGCAAACACAAAUAAAAUCCAAUAAUACUGAAACAAAUAGAGCAAAUAAAAGAUACGAAAAUAAAGAAAUUGAGCCGUAUUGCAAAAAAAAAAAAAAACAAAACAAAAUCAAUACAAAGCUUUGUUCUUAAGUUCCAAGAUAGGACCCCUUGAGCUAUAAAUAGAAACUCGAUGUUAGAUCUCCAACUAUGGCUCCAAACCGGAAAGUCAAUAAAUGAUACUUCAUGAAUAUCCACUAUAUAAACUACUUUCCUAAAAUGAACAAUUACUUCAAAACGUAAAAUCUACUCAAUGCAAUGUUAAGAAAACAAAAUUUAUUUAUGAAUAUGCAUUACUGGUAAAAUACACUCCUAGAUGUUUUUUUAUUUUAUUUUAUUUUCUGAAUAUGCAGUUUAUCUUUCCACUUGUUUUUUUUUUUCUUUUUUGCAUUUCCCCCUUCUUUAUAUAUACACACACACAUAUAUAAGUGAAGCAAAAUUUGAUUACGUGUUGAAAUAAAUAUGAACUAGAAUCUAUAUGCCAAAAUAAUAUGUAAUAUAAAUCCGGAUUUUCAUGAAAAUUUGCACUGCGUUCACUUGGAAUUUUUUUUCUUUGGAAACGCUCAAUUGGAAUUUCAACCUUAAAAUUGCAUCAAGAACGACUUAGUGCACACGAGAAAAUAAAGAAAACUAAAGUGACAUAAUGCUAUGAAUUAGAGCCAAAUAAUCCACACUAUGCGAAAAUCAACGGUGGAUGAAUAAAUCUAUACGAAUAACCAAUUUUCUCUCUACCGCUUUUUUUAGGGUGCAGUUUAGUUAACCGUCCUCUGUCAAAUGAUGGAGUGACAGUCAACUAAUGACACACAAUUCGCAUAGAUUCCAUCUUUUACCCUUUUUUUAUUUUAAUUUUUAUGCUUUCUUAUUGCAAGCUUAAAUUGAGCGAUAAAAUCAUAAGAGGGCCAUACAAUCAAUUUUCAUGAAUAUUAUGAAAGGAAAAAUAAAUUAGAUACCAAAAUAUAAAUAAUUAGAAGUAAAAAAUAUUGUCCUCCACUAAAAAGAAAUCAUUCAUUUCGUUAGGUAGAUCUAUUAAAUUUAAAAGAUGAAAAAACACUUGAAUUUUUGGCUUUGCAACUAAUAACAAAAUUAUUGUGCAAUGAAUUGGCUUCUCAAUCCUAUCGCCAAAAUCAAAUUGCUUUGGAAGGACUCUCCGAUGACCUAAAAUUAAGACAAGUAAUGUUAAUUACGCAUAAAACAAAUGAAGUAAAGAAAAUAACAAAAUAAGAAUAAUGAAUUAGUAGAGAAGAAAAUUUACCCCACUGAUCCAAAUCUCGUAGAUGAAGAUGAGUUGGGACCUAAAAUAUUACAAAAUCAAUCUUAGGAUCACACGAGUGAAGACUAAGCCAAAAUGAUUUUUGAUCAAUUUUUAUAAAUAUUUUACCUAAUAUAGCUUCAUGUUUGGUUCGUUGAGAAGAUUCAUGUAACCACAAGAUAUGACCAUAUAUCAUUUUAUAUAGAUAAAAAUUCAAUUUAUGGGAAGGUAUUUUAAAUAAAAUAAUAAUAAUACAUAUCAGCAACUAUUGAAAACCCUCGAUUCUUUCCUAAUUGCAAAUCAAGUUUUAAGAAUGGUUACGGUAACUCAUAUCAUCCAAAUUACCAAUUAUAUUUUGGUAUCUAAUUUAUUUUUUUCUUUCAUCAUAUUCAUGAAAAUUGAUUGCAUUGGUCCUCUUAUGAUUUUAUCUCCUAAUUUAAGCUUACAAUAACAAAAAAAAAAAAAAAAGGGUAAAAGAUGGAUUUCAACCGUUUCCAUCCAAAAUGUGUGGUUCUCAACUGACCGUCACUCCAUCAUUUGAAGGAGUGAUGGUCAGCUAAGCCUUUUCCACAUUUUAACUAGAGGUAUGCCUGCAUAAAAGUUAAGUGCGUCUUCAUUGCUCAACCCAACCCACAAAUUCUUAAUCCUUGCAUAUAUACUUAAGUUCCCUCAUAUACGCUCGUCCCCUAGAGGCAAUAAGUAUCCUAGUACCAAGAUACAAAGAAUUCACUCCAAUUAAUUUUUGGAUAUGGUUGUCCUCGUCGACAUCAUCCAAUACAAUUAGCAUCUAUCAAUGUUAUCAAUGUCACGAGUCACUCUAGAAUAACAUAUAUCGAAAAAUAAUUUUUCUUGUGGCAUGACUAGGCCCUUGGUUUUUAGCAUUUCCCUUGUGUCAACAAGAAAGUUGCAGUUUUUCCCAAAGCGAGGAUAUAGCUAGUUGAAGAUAACCUUGGCGGGUGUUGUUUUGCCAAUGCUCCCCAACCCAUAGAUUCCAAUGAACCGCAUACCGUCAAAAGCGGUGUUUGAUAAAUUGUCUAUGGUUGUUAUUCAAUCCUCCAUUACAACUAAAUUUUUGGUCAGUUGCCUUUGUCUUGUCUUCACCCUGACCACAAUCUCAUUAACAACCGACGUGAUAAGAUUCCCAUAGCUGCCACAAUGUCAAACAAUAUUAAUUGAGAAAAAGUGACAAAUUUCCAUGUUGACAAACAAUUUACAUAUAUAAGAUCUUGAAUCAGCCUCAAUUCAUUUUGAAUGCGCAGCACUUAUAUUUCUGUUAGAUUGCACGUUUCAGAAACAAUAAUGACAUUACAUUCAUUAAUGGGAAGAGCGUUUUGUUACAUUCUUAAUGCGAAAAGCUUCUCCACCAGAUCAUCCUUCUUGAAAAAUUUACAAAAGAAGAACCAACGCAUAACAUUAGAAAAGGAGAAAAGGAUGUUUAUUAUGAGAAAUAAAUGAUGAAAUUCUUGAUUUGAAUGCCCGAAGUCCGGUGCCACUUUCUUUAGUGAGAGACGUCAUUUUGGACAUUUGUACCGUGUGACUCACGUAAUUUAAUUGAAACUGACGAACAAACAACUUCACAGCAGUUGCAGCUUUCAAUUUAUGGUCAAUAGAGUGGAUGGCUUCAGAGAAAAUGAGAUGAAGGACAAUUAUGGAGGUCUACCUUUUCACAAGCCCAAUUUCUUUGGAGUUUCUUCUUAGUGCAUUUGAACUUUUGAAUUUAUGACCAUUUUUUAAUUAAAAAAAUCUGAUUUUCAAACGUUUAAAUCAUUUAUAAUUAGUUUAUAGCUAUAUCUAUGGUUAAACAUAUUUAUAUAGAUAAAAACGGAAUUUAUCCAUAUAAAUGCAUAAUAAAAAAUAUUCCUAAAGAAAAGUUUAAGUUAAAUGCGUUUAUUUCAAGUGAGUGAUUCAUUGUUAGUCAAAUUUCCGCUGUUUUUUUUUUGUUUUGUUUUGGACAUUUUAACAAUAAUAACAUUACAUUUCAUUAAUGAAAAGAGCUUCUCCACCAUAUCAUCCUCCUUCAGAAAUUUACAAAAGAAGAGCAAGCACAUUACAUUAUUAAAGGAGAAAAGGCUGUUUAUUGUGAGAUAUAAUGACAAAAUUCUUGAUUUGAACACCAAAGUCCGAUGCCACUAUCGGUAGUGAUAGACAUCAUUUUGGAUUUUUGUAUUGCGUGACUCAUGAGAUUUAAUUGAAAGUUACGGACAGGCAACUUGACAGCAUCCGCAGCUUUCAAUUAAUAGUGAAUAAAGUUGAUGGCUUCAUGAAAAAUCAGAUGGAGGACAAUUAUGGAGAUGUACCAGUUUUUUGGUCGGUUGAAUACAAUUAUGGAGAUGUACCAUUUCACACGUCCUUUCGCCUUUCUUCUCGGUGCCUUUGAGCUUUCGAAUUAAAAAAAGAAAAAUUCUGAUUUUGGGCGUGGAAAGAAAGAGAGGCCGUGCUGGUCUUGACCAUAAGAGGACGACUUUGCUUGGCCGAAGAAAGGGAAAAAGACAGACCGAUAAUGGCCACUGCUGACAUCGGACAGUACAGAAGGGAAACGAAAACGACGAAGAAAGUUGCAGUAAUGGUGUCUUUUAACGAUGGCCAGUCAUUGUUUCCUUUCUUCUUCUUUGUUUUCUUCUAGUGAAUUUUCUCUUUAAAUUCGAAGAGGAAGGGCUCUUAAUGAGAGCUCCGAGGACUGCACAGAGGAGAUUGAAAAUUUCCUCUUAAGGGUUUGAUUCAAAAAAGUUUUUCUUCGUGAAGUUAGUCGAAAUUAAAGCUGAUUAAAUCUUGUGUUAAUAUGCAAAUUGAGAUAUUAUUUCGAAAGAAAUUAUGAAGGUAAAAAACAUAGAGUUAUUAGUUGUACUUAAGGGAUAAAAACACCAAGGGUAUCUGAACGACUUGAAUAAAAUUAUAAUAUUCGCUGCAUUGUAAUUUUAUCUAUAAUGGAAUUGUGUGCUCCUUUCCUCGUGGACAUAGAUCACACAACCAAAUCACGUAAAUUUGAUAUCUGAAUUAUUUUCUUAUUUUGUAUAUAUUUUAUUUAAUCACUUGUUUUAUUUUCAAUAAUAAAUACGGUUUGAAGAAAAGAGGAACCAAGCUAGACUGUAUUAUAGUUAAAGAUCAAACCAAGCCAGACGUUUUUUUUUUUUUGGGGGGGGGUUGAUUUGGCUUAAUCGUUCUUUCUUCUUUAGUUUUCCUCUUCAUCAUUUGUAAUUUUAUGAGAAAAAAACCAAAUUCCAUGUCACGAAACUUCCAAAGCGAGAUCCCCGAGGAAGUUGCUGGAUCACCAAGCAAGCACAAAUGGCCCCUCUUGCGAGGUGAUGCUUGCUCUUGGCACGAUCAAUCUCAACUUGUUUCAAUUAAUUAUUUCGUUUGAUUGAGAGUCACCACUAACUUUUUAUGAACCAAUUAGGAGUCAAGUAAAAUGCAAGAGUCCGUCUUACUUCUGCAAACAUGAGAUUUGUGAGUCCAGAAACUUGAUUAGGCAAGAUACAUCUCAAGCCCAAUGUUGCAUACUUUCUCUUUCUAUUAAAACAAUUAUUCAUGUGGUCUUCCCAAUCUUAGUUUCCCAUUUUAUUCUCAAUGUUGAGAAAGGCUGGCGAUCAUGCAUAAAUUCACUCAAGCAAACACGUAUAAAAUCCACUAAUACUGAGACAAAUAGAGCAAAUAAAAGGUAGGAAAAUAAAGGACCCAACCCGUAUCAGGGAAACAAAUCAACAAAAGCCUUGUUAUAAGGUUCCGGGACAUGCCCCUUGAGCUAUUAAUAGAAACUCAGUGUAAAAUCUCCAAAAUAAACUAUGGCUUAAAACCAGAAAGUAAAUAACUGAUACCUCAUGAAUAUAUAUAAACUACUUUCCCAAAAAGAAGUAUUACAUCAAGAAAUAAAAUCUACUUAAUGCUAUAUAAAGUGCAAUGCAAUGUUUAGAAAACAAAAUCUAUUUAUGAUUAUGCAUGAUUCCUAAAUUAUCCUCCUAGAUGUAUAUAUAUAUAUAUAUAUUUUAAAUAGAAUCUAUCUGUUUUUUUGCUUUUUCACAUUAACCCCUUCAAUAUAUAUUAUAGUGAAACGAAAUUAAACUAAAAAAUAACUAAGUGCCGAGAUAAAUUUGAACUAGUAACUAGAUACCAAAAUAAUAUGUUAUAUAAACCCAGAUUUUCGUGAAAAUUUGCACCAUGUUGCGUUGGAAUUUCAACCUAAACUUCUUGUGGGAACGAGCUAAUAAACACCAGAAAAUAAAGAGAACUAAAGCGAUAUAAUGCUAUGAAUUAAAGCAAAACCAUUCCACAAUAUGCGAAAUCAAGGGUGGAUGAGUACAUCUAUACUAAUUGCCGAAAUUAAAUAUUUAUUAAAAAAAAUUUCUACGCUGUUACAGGUCUGAAGUGUUCAAAUUGAAUCACAUCAUGUAGAUUAUUUAUAUUUCCAUGUUUAUGUUUGCUGAGACACGAGGAACAAUCAACAUGAACUAACACAAAAAUCCACGCAGGUUCUUGAUUUUAUUUCCUUUCUUCUUUCGUCUUUCUCUUCACAUGUGCAGCAUAAUUCCUUUUCACUUGUGCUGGUCGGAUAAGGCUGUCGCAUAUUUCCCUCUUGGUCGAGCCCAUGAAAGGGAGCCAGGGUCGUGCGGGCUUGGACUCGGAAGUUCAAAUAAAUUCAUGGCACAUUUUGCGUGUUGGGAUCCACUCAAAUUCAAUUCACAAGCGGACUAAUUUAAAUGAAAUUCGUAGUCAGGUUUCACGCUUUCUUUGGUGCGAAUCCAUUAUUCCUAACAAAAUGUUGGUACUAUCUAAAUGCCGUAAAUGAGGAUGCAAAAAAUGUGCAAUCUCAAAAAAUUUAGGCAUUAGCAUUCUGCGUUGACAACAAUUCAUAAAUUCACACAAAGUGAAAAUCAAACCUAUUUAAAUAGCUAUUUCAUGUAUAAAUGGUCAAAAUAAUUAGCAAUAUCAAUCAUUUAUACAAUGCGGGGUCGCGGUUUUGGUUUGGUUUCAAAAAAGUUGAAACCAAGCCAAACCACAAAAAACGAUUUGUUUCAUGGACAACAUGGAUAUUGUUAAGAGGGACCCUCGAGCUCGAAGGGAAGGUGUUUUGGUUGCCAGCAACAUCGUGGAGCUUGGAUUAAGGCAAGGCUGCCUCCAUCAAGAUGGAUAGGGAAAGCAACGCUAUCAACCCAUAGAUCCAAAUGCCGCGAGAAUCGAUCCAGGCAUACUGGUUCGAGACGAAGGCCCCCAAUCGUGAACUGAAGCUUCAUGGAUAUCAUGAUUUUCUAGAAUACUUUCAAAAAGAUCAUACUUUCAAGAAUAUUUUUUACACAUCAUUGCAUACUUUCAAGCACAAACGGACAUGGCACAUGAAGUCAUGCCAGAGCAUAAAAUGACAAAGGAAUUUCCCUGACGACAUCUCCAAAAAUAUCAAAAGUCGCAUAAGUAAUGUUAGGAAUUAUUUGACAAUUGAAUUUAGAGGACGAAAUUGGAAAAUGUGGUACUGAAAAAGCGUUGUGGGAAGUCUAACCCCUCCCCACACAUAAAUGAAUCCUUCAACAACAAGUUUCAUUGGCUUUCGCAAAUGAUCAAUAUUACACGUGGACCUAGUUUCCAAUCAGCCUAAUUUUUUAAAUUGAUUGGCAGUUACUCCAUCUCAUACUUUAAAGAAAACUUUGGAGUUGGCCCAAAACUUCCAAAACUCCUUUUCCAACAACAUAUUUGCUCCUUGCCGAGUGAAACCUUUGAUCUCAAGACCGUUGGGCAAGGUGCUACAUGACCUAUAUGAAGACUCCAACGUAAUUGUUGUAGGGUUGGCCGAGAAGAUCAAAACGCUUUCAAAGCUUUUCUUUUUCUUUUUGGUUCUUUGCUUAUUCUUUGAUAUAUAUAAUAUUAUUUAUUAUCGCGAUUCUACUCUUAAUUCUCUAAGAGAGUGUUGAUGUAAUUAUUGUUCAGAGUGCUUUGCGUGUAAAGUAAAGUCAAGGUACUUGUAGAGUGAGCUUCAGUUCCUCUUAGAGAGGCAAUUCCGUUCAUAAUUAGUGAAUUCAGCCUUGUUGUUAGAUAGGAAAAUCAUUCAAAAAAUUCAUCAACUUAUUGCAUGGCGGUUAAUUCAGUCAUAAACUUUUCAAUUUGACAAAUUUAGUCUUCAACGUUUUAACGAUUUUCUAACGUAGAUCAUCCAGUCAAUUUUGAUUGGAAAUAGUUAAUAUGGCAGUCCAGUAAGCACUAGCCAUUCUAUGUGUAAUGGCCAGGCUAUCGGCGAUUGAUGUAAACUAUUUUUAAAUUUUUUUAAUAUAUAUAUUUUUUUCGUUUUCUUGUCCUUCAUCCGAAUAGAAAUGAAGUAUGAGGCGCUUGCCUUGUGCAUCCACCUAUAAAUUGAUUUGUAGUCUAUUCUUUCUAUCGUUCUUUACAUUUUUUAUGAUAGAAGAUAUUUUCUAUACGUAGCAUAUUUUGUCUACAAAUAUUGUUUCAUCCUCUACGCAUUUUUUUGCAAGAAAAAAAGUGUCAAAAAUCCUAAAAUAACCUAUUCAUUCUCCUCUUGAUUGUUUAAUUAAGUCCAUUUCACACAUAAGCAUUUUCUUUGUAUAAAUAUUAAGUGAAAUGGCACCAAUUGUCCGUUUAUUCUUGCCGAAAAUUCAAGAACGUCCUUGUAUCAUUUUUUGUCCAAAAUCAUCCCUAUACUUUUUAAAAGGGUCAUUGCUCGUCCUCCUAUUAUGUCACUACUUUUUUCAAUCGAUUUAUACCAAUAUGGAUAAUCGGAACAUUGAGUAGAAGCCACGUGGCAGCCAUGGCUGCUUAAGCUUUAAGCUCACAAUUGUGGUCAUUUGAGCUCGAAGCUUGCCACCACCAUGGUUGCUUGAGCACGAGCUCAAAGCUAAUGGCCAUGGUCACUUGAGCUCGAACCUUGUGACCACUAUUGCCAAAUCUGGAUUCGAAGUUCACAGCAGUCAUGGCUGCUUGAGCUUGAAGCUUGCGGAUGCUAUGAUCAAAUAUGGCAUCGAAGGUUGUGGCUGCCGUGGCCAAAUUUGGCCACCAUGGCUGCUCGAGCUCCAAACUCAUGGCCAUGUCCGUUUGAGAUCAAAGCUUGCAGCCUCUACAACCAAAUUUGGCUUUGAAGCUCAUGGCUUGAGCUCUAAGCUUGCGAUUUGCUGCUAGAUCUACUUCAAAGCUCAUAACCACCGUGAUCACUUGAGCUCGACCUUGAAACUUGCGGCCAUCAUGGCUUUUCGAGCUGGUGGCCAGGGUGGAGCUUGAGUGGUCAUGCGUGUGAGGUCUUAAAGGUCGUAGAUCUUGAGCUCGCGAUCACCAUGGCUACUCGAGCAUUUGAGCCGCGGGCAUUAUAAGUGAUAACGUGAUUCUUUUAUGUGGAAAUACAAAAUAGGAGAUCUUUUUUUUUUUUUUUGGUAAAACAAAAUAGGAGAUCUUUGAUCUUUAUAAUUUUCACAAUAAGAAAGAUGGAGACAUACCUUUAUUCAUAGUAAUACACUUGAAAGUAUUUGUCGCGGAAAAAUCGAAGAGAUGAAGAAAUUUGAUUUCUCUCCCUUAACCCAUGCUUUUCUUUAAUGUAUUCUAUUUGAUAGAGGAUAUAAUACAGCAUUAUUUUUUAUGUUGUAGGUGAAAAGAGGACUAGACUCUUAUUUAUGCAUGCUAUUAAUAUGCGCUUUCAAUUAAAGCGCCUUUUAACUUCUAUGAGAGUCGCACCUCUUUGGAAGAAUGGUAACUUCUCAAUGAGGAUUGUACUAUUUUAUUAGAGUUGUAAUUUCUUAUAACCAAUACAUUUUAGCAUUAAAUAUUUAUUAAACCAUUAAUCAAUAAUAUCAUGUGUGCCACAAUAAUUCUUACAUUCUCCCGCUUGGCCCAUAUGACCUUCCUUUCAAGGUUUAAUAAAGACCAUAAUGUGCACAAUAACGUUAUGCUAAAACCUUUCAUAAAUUGGCUAUCAUAUAAUAAUCACAAUUAAGUAAAAAAAAAAAAACUAAUGCAAGUCAUGGCAGUUGUAUGCCAUUAAUCGAGAUAGUUCCUUUCAUGUACUACAACAUAGCUCUCUACUUAACAUAAUCAUAAAUGAGGAGUACGGUAAUGGUCCAACCAUAAUGUCUUUAUAAGAAACUAACCUGUUUAACAUUCAUCUAUUUCCAUAAGGUAUACUAAAUAGAAACAAGAAAUAUCAAAGAUGCAUAAUUGAGCUCAGAGUGUCAAAUACAUAAACUUAAUGCAAUCAUAAUACAAUAAUUAAUGAUGUCCAAUAAUGUCCAUCCUUUCAACAUGCUCAUUAAAUGUUUUGGGUGGAAUCUCUGUCACGACCCAAUCUCAUUGUCCAUCCCUCGUGAGGAGAGGAAGAGGAAAGGUUGGAUUUAUGUGUACUUGACCACAAAAGUUCCCUCAUGGUUCCCAACCACAGGGAUGUCAUCACCUUACCCCGUGGACGAACCUCGUGUGAGUUCACUUAAUCGUAAUCUUGAGUUUUCCAAACUUGUACACCACAUGACAGUGAAGUGUCGCAACCCUCCCUCAACACCACGGUAUGUCUUGAUCGACAAUUUUAAGGUCGAAAGGAAUCUGGACGUAAAUGUGAGUUUAGGGAUGCCUUUACCACGAUAACCCUAUCGAUGGAACAUUUUGCCCAUAAGAAUGACAUCACUUCAUCCUUUAGCGGUACAACCAAUAUCAAGUAUGCUAAAUUGCGGUGAGUCUUAUCAAGACCCAUAUCCCGCGCGACGGGUUCAUUUAUAACAUCUAGUUAUUUAAGACAACCUAAAAAUAGGACGGGAGUCACCACUAGCCUUAUUUUUGGGGGGUCGGCCAGAAAAUUCAAUCGAGGAUUGAGAGUGUUUCCUCGAUUUCUACGCAAUCAAAUAUCUAGGUUCAGAGACUUAGGUUACAAGUAUUCUAGAACCAAUAAACAAAGAUUUAACUCCAAUUAGUUUUUGGAUUUGGUUGCCCUUAUCAACAUCAUCCAAUACAAUUAGCAUCUUCUUGUUGCAAAUUGUUUCUCCAAUCAUAUUGAUACCAUGAUCAAUGCUAUGAAUUCUACAAGCCACUCAAGAAUAAGAGAUAUCAGACAAUAUUUUUUCUUGCAAUUUGUCUAAACCCUUGGUUUUUGCCAUUUCCCUCACGUCUUUGAGAAAGUUGCAAUUUUUCCCAAAGUGAGGACAUAGUUGGUUGAAGAUAAUUAUGGCAAGUGUUGUUUUACCGAUAUCGCCUAUCCCAUAGAUUCCAAUUAGUCACACACCACCAUAAUUGAUAUCUAAUAAAUUGUUUAUGGUUGUUAUUCAAUCCUCCAUUCCAGCUAAACCUUGGUUACUUGCCUUUGUCUUGUCUCGAGCUUGACCACAACCUCGUCAAUAGCUGCCUGGUUAAGUUUUGUUUAGCUGCCACAAAGUUGAACAGUUUCAAUUAAGAAAAUGUGACAAUUUGGUAUGUUGACCAACCGUCUACUAAGCAAAGAGGUGGGAAUGCGAUCAAGUUUAGAAUAUAUCAAAAUUUAACAUUACCUCAAAGCUUUGUGAACAUGAUGAAUUACAAACUUGAACAUCCAUUACAAUAGAAGAAAUGAAAUGUUUGAUCCUUAUAUCAAGUAGAAGGCUCAGAAUCUCUGGCCAAAAAGGGUGGUGAAUCAAAAUAUAAACAUCUAUUGAAAAACUGUAAUAGAAGAUUUACUUAUUUCUUCCGAUGUGGAAAAAGAACUUUGCUAUGGAAACAGUUCCUUAAUCAAGUUCUCUAGCAUACAAUACGAAUCUUAAUACAUACAUGGAUCAAAUUAGUAUUAAAAAGAUCAAGCUAAUCCAAAUUUUUCAUAUGAUGGAAAAUAAAUGGAAAACCAACUUAAAUAACCACAUUAGGUUAAAAAAAUUUGGAAAUCUCGUGAUUUAAAAAAACUAAAAGAAGAAUUUGAAACCUUCAGUUUAAAUUUAGGUAAUUAAAGUUGGAAUAUAAUUAAUGAAUUUUCAUAAGAACUAUGCUUGAUUGUACAAGAUAAUCUUCACAAUCAUGGUCAAAUUGUUACCCUGGAUAUUUCUCCAUCUUCCAUCCCUUGGUGCCAACAACUUCUUUUAGGGCCCGCCCCCACAUCUCUAUAUCCUCAGAGCUGAACUUAUUCUUCUGACCCUCCAUCUAUUGCUCCAAAUUUGAUAUGGCCUUGUUGUACAACAUUGUUUUCAACUUCACGUCAUCGGGUUCCACAUUGCAGAAGAUGGGCAAUAUGACCUUCUUCCCAUCUUCUUUAGAUUUAUAGGUGUUCUCCACCAUCUUCGCAAGCUUGUCAAGGCACCAAUGACAUGAAGUGUAGUUUUUGCAGAAGAUGGGUAUGUAGAGCUUGGAGUCAUCAAUCAUUUGUGGAAGGUUGUCACUGAUUCUUUCACCAAAUCUAAGUUCCUCAUCAUCAAUGAAAACAUGAAUUGCAGCAUGUAACAAGGUAUGGUAGAAGCUAUUGGUGAAUGUACGAUGAGUAUCAAGCCCUCUAAAACUUAGGAAGACCUGGUACUCACCUCCAAAUGUAUUAUUAGUGCUUGUUUCAAUCCCUAGGCUCGCCAUAGGACCAAACUGUCACGCCCCGAACCUCAAGCGCGCCAACAUCCCACCAUGGUCAUGCAAAUGUGACAUUCCCAGGUAGUGUGGCCGACCCCAUUCAUAUAUUAUUGUGCAAGCGGAACAUAUUAUAAAACCCUUGACAAUGAAAUAUGGGAUAGACAAGCAGGAAGCAAAACCACAACAUAACACUUUCAUAAUUCAACAGAAUUACAAACAGAGGUCUACGGCCAAAAGUCUACAAAAAACCGACUCUUAAAAAGGAACUGUCCUACGACCUACAAGUCAGACACGUUCUCCAAUCCUUAUGACUUCACCUCUACAACUCCUCAAGGCCAACCAAAGCUAUCUGGUCACUCCGUCCACCAAGGACCUGAAAUUUUAAUCCCACAACCGGGAUGAGACAUUGUCUCAGUAAGUUCAACCCCCUAAACCCCUAUUAGAAAGAAAAUACACCUCGGGUGGCCUAGCCACAUCACACAAAAGACUUAUCUCGUCUUAAUUCCUUCCUACAUAUUAGCACAAUUUGUAUCACACAAUCUCAGGUAGUAAUAAUAAUUCAAACAAAUGGAAACGCCAUCACUUUCAUAUAAAUCACAAUCGCACUUAGUGCGCAUUCCAAUUAUUAUUCACUACCACACAAGAGCAUAGCCUACUCGCAGUUCGGCUAUCUACUGACAUUAAUGCCAGGCAUCGCCUCCCCCCCUUGGAGCGCGGCUUCGUCACCACGAUGACGGCAUUCCUGAAGGAGCAUGGGUCUAGUUGGCAUAGCCUCUACUACGACUCGAGCCACGUCACUCUGUUGACGGCAUUUCUAAAUGAAUAAAGGUCCAGUUGGUGUAGCCACUAUUGCGACCGAGUCUUUCAACCAGCACACGACAAUUCAAUAAUCAAUUGCACAAAUCAUCACUCAAUUUGUAAUAUCUAAUCAUCAAAUUCAUAAUCUGAAUACACAACAAUGAUCAGCAUGAAAUUCUGAGAAUUUAGGGUCCCAAAAUAAUUUUCGGAAUUUAUUAAAUAAUUAAAUUUAUUUCGAAAAUUAAUUAAAUAAUAAUAUCCAUAUUUUUCACAAUCCACACUCAAUUUAUAAUAUCCAAUCAUCAAUUUCAAAAUUUGACUACACAGCAGCGACCGGCACGAAAUUCUGAGAAUUUAGGGUCUUGACAAAAUUUUCGGAAUUUAAUAAAUAAUUAAAUUUAUUCCGAAAAUAAUUAAAUAAUAAUAUUUUAAUAAUUUUGAAUAAUAAUAUAUUAUUAAAUUAUCUAAUAAUUUCGAGAUAUUUAAAUAAAUCAAAAGUAAAUUCAUUUAUGUCACAUCAAGGUUUAUAUUAAUAUAACAUUCACUUAAUCUUAAAUUAAACACACUUUAAGUUAAUUAAGCACCUUAAUAUAAAUCUACACUUAAAUAAAUUAAACUAACCACCUAAUAAUACUUAACAAAAACUAAGCACAUCUAAAGCAUCAUUAACCUUCUAAUCAAGGUUUAGUGAGCUAAACUCACAGAUUAGCGAGCCGAGCGGACUGGAACGAUGGGGACGCCGGGGGGAACAACUUUCCUCAAAGCAGGCCAAGCAUUCGAGGUCGGGAAGCCGGCCAAAACGGGCCAAAACGGAGUUGAGAAACCCAUUUUUGCUUGCUAUUGGUUAAGGCCGACGGAGGGCUGCACGGCAGCGGUUCGAGCACGAAAUCGGCGGGGAUGGGCGGCAGCAGCUCAGGCGGUUGCUGCUGGUGGCUCCGACAGCUUUCCGGUGGGCUUGGCGAUAGCAGGCAGCUCGGGACGACGAAGGACGACGGUUGGGACGCGCGAACGAAGGUUGGAUGCGGCGCGACAGCGGAGCGGCGAGCGGGACAACGGUAAGCGGGCACAGUGCUUAGGCGACGCGCACGGACGACGGUGGCGGCGACGGACUCCGGCGAUGAAGUAGGGUGGCCGGUCGAGCGUGCGGGCUGGCCUAGUUCGCACAGUGCAGCUCCUCUCUCCUCUCUCUCUCUCCCCAAGCUUGAAGAUGAUAGUGAUGGGUCACCUUUUUGGGGAACAAAUCUCCACCUUACACUUGUCAACAUCCUAGCUAUUCUUGCCCCACACCAUGACAUCAUCACCAAGUGAUGUCAUACUCCACUAUCUCAAUUUCUCCCCACAACAAUAUUCAAUAGGUGCAAUUUAUUUUUCCGCCGUGGCAUGAAAUCUCGUACAUUAAUUUCUCCAAUUUCAUUCAAUUCUCUUCCAAUUGAGUCCAAUUGAAGUACAUAAAAUUAAUUCAAUGUUACCACACUUCAAUUCACAUAAUCACUUGACCAUAGAACCCUCUUAGAUCUCAAAAGUAUAGCCAAAAGAGGGCCUACCAAUUUUCCGAACCAAAUUAGCCAUGCUUUGAUUAUUUUGCUGAAAAACUCUUAUUGCAUGAAAAAUCUUCCGAAGACGAGUUAAUGAUCCUAAAAUGAUUUGUGACACACCAUGACUUCCAAUUUCUGAAUUCGAUCUCAAUUUCACGGUUAAUUUCACUUUGGCACGAUACUAGCGUGUCCUGAUCUACCGGGUAGCUUUUAGAAAUUUUUAUGCAUUUGACCUGUGGUUGAUUAAUUCAAGCCACAAUAUACAUCUUUGACACAUUGACGACUCUUGGUUGUCGAGAUAAUCUCAAGAUUUCAAACACAGACAUAUGGUACCCAAACGACAGAAAAGCCGGUCCAGUGCCGAUCGACAAGAAUUGUGAGAUCUAGUGGAAUCACCCACACUCGAUCACAUGCCUCUAUCUAGUCGACCUAUCUCCGAUUUCUAAUCGAUUUUUAACUGCGCCGUAAUGACCCUUGUAGAUUAACUCGGUCGAAAGGUCGUUUCCUGAUCAAAUUCUCGAGUCUGAUGCAUUAGAAUUUCUUAACAGCUUCACCUGAUAGACUAGUUAUCCCAUGAGUGAUCAGUUCAGGGAAAAGAACUAUAUGCGUACUAACGAAAUGCCCAUCUCAAUUUAUUGAAAAUAGAAUUGGAAAAUCAGGAUGUCACACAAACUUCGCACUUAGCAGGGCCAGCCCUCUCUCUCUCUCUCUCUCUCUCUCUCUCUCUCUCAUAGCCACUGUUGAAAUACUUUGAGGCAAAUCCACACCAAACCUUGUGCUUCUUCAAUGUGAAAAGCUUUUAUUACAUUCUUAAUAUGAAAAGCUUUCUUCCCCGGAUCAUCCUCCCUAAGGAAUUUACAAAAGGAGAACUAGUGCAUUGCAUUAGAAAAGGAGAAAAGGCUAUUAUUAUAGGGAUGUUUGUAUUGCAUGACUCAUGGGGUUUAAUUGAAAGUUUAACGCGUACUGGCAACUUCAGUGCAGCUUCCGAUUUAUUGUCAAUAAAAUUGGUGGGUUUACAAUUAGUUAGGUGAAGGACAAUCGUAACAUCCUCGAUUCCGGCUCUGUAAGGAUCGGUCAUAAUGUCCUAAAAGGAUCGAUCAUGGGCCAUUGGCCAUAAAUUGAUCGGUUCGAUCAGCAAGGAAUCACGGAUCAGUCACGAUCAACCGAUCGACCAACCGACUGUUCACAAAUUAGUCGAGGUGUCGGCCGUGAAUUUUUACCGACCAUACUAAUAGGAUAUGAUCACCAGCUCAUAAGAUGACUUUUUGAUCGUGAGAAUUGGUCACAUGAUGAUUUUGGAUCGGUGGAUGGUUAUGGGUCGAUCCAAUCGGUCACAAUUUCUGGUCGCGAGUGAUUCCGCCCAGUUAUGCACCGAUACACGGAUGAUCCAAAUUGACCAAAUGUGACUUCAUUCCGAUAAAAAAUGCAUCAUUCCAAAUUUAAUUCUUAGUGAUCUGAAUGGAAUCUCGAAUUGGUGAUGUCUGAUCAUGGAUCGGUAAUGCACCAACCAUGAACCCUAUCGAUGGAUUGGGUGCCGGCUGGAAUGAGCCCAAGGAUAGACUUGGCUAUUCCGUCACUAAUUCUAAGGUCCAUGAGUGCCUUGGCUUAGUGCUAGGCCAUGGGUAGCCUUAAAAUAGGUCUUGAAUCAAGUAAAGGACAACCGACCCUAUUAGUCGAUCGACAUCCAAAGGAAUAGUUUGGGCGAUAUGACAUAUGUGACUCGGGUGUGCAUGAUCGAUUUUCAGUGUGCUAUGAUCUCUUCCUCGGCCCCGGAAUCAACUUGCAUAAUAGAAUUCUGUAGACUGCUUCAUUAAUGAAGAAAAAAGACAAAGGCAUGGAAUAUUCUAGAAACCCUUCGUUAAAUGAAGGGGUGAGUUGUCCUUGGAAUGGUCAAAAGUCAUUAUGGUGGCCAAAAUAUCUUUCAAGAUUCUAGAGAAAGGCGGCACACAAGUGGACCAAUUAGAGAGGAUUACACGAGCCCUCAUUAAUAACCGAAUAUUCUAGAAUGGCUUAGGUGGCAACCUAGAGUAGCAUCAUCAUUAAACUUCAUAAAAUGCCCAUUAAAUGAGGGGUAUCGGUGGACCAAUGAGAGAAUGAAAAGUGGGUGAUAAUCAAUGACAUCUAGGGACCUAGAUUGCCGAGUAAGGUCUUUAGCUUGGCCAACUCAUCUUCUAGGCAUAAUCAUGAGGCAAAGUAGGCUUGCCACCCAAGAAAAGUAGGCGGGACACUUGAAAACAUUGGAGAAGACCGCUUGGCUUGGUAAUGAUGGCUCCAAAGGCUAUAAAUAAGAUGAGAACUUCCCAUAUUCCUCACUUGCCUUCAAUUUUCUCCUCCCACCAUCUCCUUGAACACCCUCUCCUCAUGCUCUCUCUCUUUCUUUUGGCCUCCAAGCCAAGCCACCCAAUCUUUGUAGCUCAUGUCCUAGUUCGAGGUUCAUCCAGGAAAGUAAAAUCCCUAUGUCUCCUCUAGGGCGGUAAUCUCUAUUGUCGAGCCUAGUUAGGUGCUCACCUAUCAAGCCGUUGGUUGGAUGUUAGAUCUUUUGUAUGGUCUUACUCAUGUUUGUGCUUGAAUGUGUGCUUGAGUUGUUCACGUUCAGAAUGGAGUCAAGGUUCGUUUGAAUUGAGUUCAGCGCAAGGCAAGGUCGCCCCAAGCCAUAAAGCCUUGGUUUCGGCAUAAAUAAGAUGCUGGGUCCAAGCCUCGCUUGGUGCGGGAAUCGCCUAAGGCUGUAAGGUCUUAAGUUGACAUUGAGGCGUGUCGAUCUUAUCCUUGAUCGGUACGGGGAUCGCCCUAAUCCAUGAGGUCUUGAUAAAACAUUGAACAUGCCGAUUUCCAUAGUCCACGUGGACGUGGGGACUUUGUGCUUGGCUUUGAAUGAAACCGCGAGUCGAGGUUCAUCAAGCUUGGGAUCGUCACUAAAGCAAGGUGUACCCAAGCCUCGAGGUCUUGGAUUGGUAUUGAGGUGUACCGUUUCCGAGCCUUGUUUGGUGCGGGAAUCGGUGCUAAGUGAUUGAUUCAAGUUACGGAUGAAAGGUCAUUCCCGACAUUUUUGCUAGUCAAGUAUAAGAAAUUCAUGACACACAUGAAUGAAUGAACACGCCUUCGGGCCAUGUAUGCGUUGGCUAAGAGAAAAAAUAAUAACCGGUUUGUAUGAUGCAUUUGUACAUGCAUUUAAAGAGAAAAAAGCGCCCGUUGCCACAUAGCAUUGUUGGCGAUGCCUCGUUCGUUGAACGGGAAGCCUCGAUUGAUCCCAGAUGUCCUAAUUGAGCCAAUAUGCCUAGAUCUUGAACCCGGAAGCCUUGGGAAGCUAGCCCCGAGAAGUCUCGGUUGAGCCGAGAUGCCCUGGUCGAGCCAGGAAGUCCAACAAGAAGCUAGAAGCCUCGGUCGAGCCGAGAGGGCCUGGUCAAGCUAGGACGACAAUAAAUGAAUUUGCAUGAAUGUUGGUUAUGCACAAGCAUGAUAUGUUGGUAUAUUAAUUGAUAAGCUUAUGGUAGUUUUGAUAUGGACGACAUGUAUUUAGAUAAAGCAUGACAUAUAAUUCGCAAUUGAUCUACCAUCGACACUGUUUGCGAGUGUUGUACUAACUAAGCUUUGACAAUAAGAUGAUUUCCAAGUAGAAAACUAGGAAUUUUACUUAUUGAAUUUCCCCAAAACUCAUCUCUCAUCUCUCAGUCUUGUAGGCAUUGAAGUCUCUCGUCAAUUUUGGGAGCUGCAGUCACGCUAGAGGAGAUAGGAUUUCACUUGGCCUAUGUGGAAAACUUGUAUUGUGAUGUAAAAAGAAAAAAGAGCUCGUAGAGAAAUGGCUUGUAAAAGUAUAGUUAUGAUACAAAUCAAUGUGUUUUGCGUGAUGUAUGUCCCAGUCUUCCAACUGUUGUUUGUUCGGUGAGUUGUUUGUUCAUGUUUCCACAUGUGCAUAAUAACAAGAUAAAAAGAAUUGGGACGGCGACGAGCCUGGGACUUCACAAAAAUAACCCUUGCUGCUCGUGAUCCUAGGGAUGGAGUUGGGGUCGUGACAACAAUAAUGGAGGUGUACCUUUUAGCAUGCCCAAAUUCAUUUGAGUUUCUUCUUCGUGCCUUUCACUAUGUGCUUUUGAGGUUUUGGAUUAAAAAAAUAUUUGAUUCUCAAACAUUUAAAUCAUUUAUGUUUAUUCUAUGGCUAUAUCUAUAGUUGCGGUAAGAUCAAUAAGAGUGCUAAAACUUUCAUACAGCACUCACUUGAAUAUCAAAACUUUUUUCUCAUUCACUUAAGUGUCAUAUUGGAAUAAAAUCGAUCAGUUGAUUAUCAAUUUUGACAAAUCAUCCUACAUUGAAUUUUUUUAACUUUUUUAAUUUUUUUUAUUUAUUUUGCUUUUCCUAAGGGCCCUCAUUGGUCAGGAAACCUGGGUGGCCUUGCCCUAGGCUACGAAUGCCUUGGGCGAGGCCAUUGGGGCCUUAUCGGUCACUGUCAUUUGCUUUGGCUUAUGCGCACCAUUAACUCUAUGAUUGAUGUAAUCAUGGUGGGAUUUGCUGUUGGAUAUGGACAUUGUGUCAUGUCUUUAAGGGUCUGUUGAUGGUGGUGGCAGAUAAUGCAACCCCUAGAUAAAGAAAAGAAAGGGUUGCGGCAGUCUAGAAUUUUUUCUAAGUGUUUACAUAAUACUAAAUUAUUUCGUAUUUAAAUUAAUCUCUAUAUUUUUAAAAUCAACUGAAAUGUGAUUCCUCCGUCAAUUGGAGUUCAAUGUCAUGGGUAAUCUGUCGCCGAGAUACGUCGAUGUGGCAAAAACCAUCCAUUGUUGAUGUGGAUUGGACAGCUCAAUUAAAUUUAUUCUUUUUAUUAAACGAACUCUUCUAUUUUCUCUUUAAUUCUUCUACUACAUUCAUCAACUAUCGAUGUCAUUGGCCAAUCCUUAAAGCAGCAAGCCAUCACAACCGGUGCCAUCCCCGGUAGGAGUGUCCAAAAACCUGACCCGACCCAAACACGACCCAAACAAGAACUAAACACAAAACAAGUGGAGUACAUGUUUCGGGUCUUAAUAUUGUUCGGGUAAUUGUUAGGAAACAAGAAAAUAAACAUGUUUUGGGUUGGGUUAGGGUCAAAAUAUUGUUCAGCCCUGAACACAUUAUUGGCUCCAUGUGUUUGAAACAAACACACUCUCCUCUCACCCAAACCCAAACACUCUUCAGUUUUCGCCCAAACACAUUAUUGACCCUCCCAACACGAUGAUUGCACCUUCUCCGGUCGUUGACUCCGCCGCCGCCGCCACCGCCACCGCCACUAUUGACGAAUGCACCCUCUCGUUGAUUCCAUAGCCGCCCUCUUCUUUGCUCCUUGUCCUCGUCCUUGUCCUCAUCGGCUUCCUCUCCUUCCUCGACUUCCUCCACCGCCUCCUUCUCCUCGAGAGGAUGCCCUCCUUCUGCCGCCUUUGCCUACAGACACACCGAGCAGGAGUCAAUGCCAAGCGAAACCCACAUCGCAAAAACUGAAAAUAUAGACAAUUGGAGCCACUGAAGCUUAUCACUGCCGUUGGCAACGGGGGUCAUCGUGGGGUCGUCUUCAAGAAGACCUUCGCUUGACGCUACCACACUCUUUUUCUUACCUCCACCCUUCACCUUCAUCCUCCCCUCCCCCCCCCCCCCCCCUAUGGAUUGAGUGAUUGAUGGAAUUUCAAAGUCCUGUCUUUGAAGGGGAGGAGGCUGGAAUUCCUUUGCUAGUCUCUGACUUGAGCUGGGAGCCUGAGUUGCUGCAGCCGAGUUGAAAUUGCUCCACGGAGGAGAGAGAAAGAGGAGAGAGAGAGAGAGAGAGAGAGAGAGAGGUGAAAAGCCUUUUGGCUUUGCAAGGUUUAUUUUCGCGUGUGUUUGGCGUCUCACGAUAGGGCUGAAGCAUUUGGUCAAGUUUUUACUGUGUGUUUUUUUUUUUUUUACUUAGAAAGAGGUAGGUGGAAAAAAACAAAGGAAAACCCAGAAACCCGACCCGACUUGAAUUUUCGAUGCGGGUCUAAUAUGUUUCGGGUCGGUUUGGGUCGGGUAACAUCUAAACCCGAUCUGACCCGACCCAUUGACAUCCUUAAUCCCGGUGUGGUCUUGUCGUGCCUCACCGCCAUCAGAACCUUCUUGACUAGCUCAACGCUCUCUCUCUCUCUCUCUCUCCAUGCAUACGUGUGUGACAUCCAAUCGAGGUUGAGACAAGACAUGUGACCUCCAUUGGUGGAGGCGCUCAAGUUCAUAUCUGGAUCGCCCAACUUGUCCUCCUAUCUAGUCUAAAUUGAAUUAGCUAGUUAAUCGUAUACACGUAGGUGUCCUCAUUGACGUAUUAAAUGGCUAGUUAAUAUUAUUAACUGCCUCAUCAGCAAUUUUUGUUAGUCUACUUCAUGAAAAUAUUGAAUGAAAUUCAUGAAGUACAAGUACCAUUAUAUUGCCAGAUAUUUUUGGCGCAACAUUGAAAAAUAGGGAAAACUCCCCCAGGGCGUGAUUAAAUGAAUGCGUGGUUUAAUAUUUAAAUAUUCUUACACCCAUACUAUUACUGAAAAACAAAAGAAGAUAAUACAAAUCAUCAAGAUCGUCAAUCGGGUACCUAAGCGAGAGAGCUUGAUUAAUAGAGGAAGGUCUUUAAUGGGAAUCAUAUUUGCAGAGAAAGGACGUGAAUAAUGUAUGUUUUACCUCUAGAUAAAUCAUUCAAUGCAACUGAGUGAUGUGAAGAUGCUAUUCUGUUAAUUUGUUUCAAUCUCCCUUAUGGAAACUAGUAGAAACGUUUUCUUGUAAAUUACGAAAACCAAUCCUCGGCUUUCACUUAAAUACUAACUUCAUAUCCACUAAUUCCGAAAUCUAUCCACACUUUGCAAGAAGAGGUUUCAAAAAAAAAAAAAGUACAGUUCGCACAAUCUAAUUUCCACAAUUUUUUAGACUCAAAAAGAUAUUAAAUCUGACCUUUUUUUUUACAUCAAGGCACAAAAUGCAUGCUCAAAAUAAUAGCAGACGCAAAAUAAAUCAUAAUAAAAAGUUGAUAAUGAUUUUUGUGUUUUCCAUGCAUAAUGAAAAAUGUAGUUGAGCCACAUAGGUGAAUAAAAGAUUAAUGGAAAAAUUGUCUAAUUGGUAUUAAACCUAUUGUAAGGACAUUAAUUCAAUUAUAAAUGAUCUAUUUUUACCAAUUUAGCGUUAAAAUUUUAUGCAAAAUUCUAGAUUCUAUUUAAAAUUGGCCAGAAUGACUAUAUUGAAAUUUUGCGUAAAAGUUGAAGACUAAAUUGGUAAAAUUGAAAGAUUUAUGACCAAAGUAACAUCCGUUAAAUAAGUUUAGGACUAAUGGGAUAAUUUUUUGAAGGAUUGAUCGCUCCAUUAUUUUCCCUGCUCUUAUAGCCCGUUUGGAUAAGAGAAUAAAUAAUAUAUAAAAAACACACACAUUUAUAUCAAUUAAAAAAGAAGUAUAUAUUUGUGUCUUACAAAAAAGAGAUAUGUGAUAUCUUUCACCCAGAUGGUUUUCAUUAAGUUAGUUGCUUGAAAUUUGUCGAUGUUGAUCAUCACGUUUGUCUACCAAAGGUCAACUUUCGCGUUUGCCUCAACUAAUUUAGUAUUUAGGUUAACUCCAAGUUCUAUUCUCGCGAAAGCAGUGUAUAAUCAUGGUGUUCUGUUCGAGUGCAAACGUAUCUUUAAUUAUUGCUUUGCCUGAACUUUGUAUUAUUGACGUAAUCAGCCCAAUGAUUGCAGAUUGUGCCCUCCACAUAGUAAAAUGACGUCAACGUACGUGAGAUAUUAUUAUCUCUUAGGCAUUGAGAGAAAUGUUUUGUAGCGAUGCCAAGGUUUAGACAACAAAUCCCAAAAACUUACUACUUAUCGUUCACAAGUUAUCAUCUUAUUAUGGAAUAAAGCUGUUGAAAACUCUUAAUGUUUGUGCAAUGUUGCCUCUGAAUCUUUCUUUUUUGCAAUCAAAUUCUUAAACUAUGAUCUGUUCGCUCCAAUUGGACCUUCCAUCAAGGGGAAAAAAAAUGAAAAUGUUUAUGUGGCCGUUAAGGAUCACGAUGGCCACAUGGCUCCUACGUGCUAUUCGUGAAAAACCAAAGAUGAGAAAAGUUAAAUUUUGUUCCUAAAGGAAAUUUAGUGCAACCACGUCACUGCGGGCUUGAGCCCUCAAGCAACUAGCGGUCGUGUUCGAGUUUGAUCAAUGGAGCGAGGACAGAGGUUGGAAUCUUUCCCAAUAGAAGCUCCCUUCAUCGGCUUUGCGUUUCGAAGCGGCGACAGCAGCAGCAUCUGGGCAAGGUGGUAAUAGCUCAAAUAGGGAGGCUCUCCUCCAACCUUUGAUGGCUUUACUGAUGAUGCUGCAUUGAUUUUCAAGGAAUUCGUGGAGCCCGAAGAUGACUAGAGAUUCUUCGCAUCUUUUUCUCGUCAUUUAAGUCAGUCAUAUUUGGGGCCUGGCCUAGACCGAACCAGACGAGCUCAAAAUAAUUUAUGCCGUGCCCAUAGGACUUGUUUAGGCCUGAUGUAAUCGGGUCGGGGCUGCUUUUAAAUGAAAAGCAACUUGAAAAGCAGCUUGCGAGCUCACAUUAUGAUUUGCCAUUUCCCACAAAAUUAUUUAUCUACGGUAGACAAACAAGCAUUCCUAUCCCUUUACAUAGCUAGGAUACAAACUUUCGCAGCAAAACAUUACCAUGCGAAUCAUUCUAUCAGAUUUUGCAACAAUCAAGCGAAUUCCCUGUCCCAAGCUCCAACAGGCUUACUUAUACCCAUCAGUUCUAGAAAGGAGCACCUGAUAGUCUAUGGGAAAGCACACUCAAAAAGCAUAUGUUGUCUAGAUUCAAGAGCAGCUGAGCACAAGCCACAUCGAUCAACUGCAGAAGCCCCAUUUCUUCAUCCUCCCACAGGUCUGCAACCCAUUCAAGAUUGCUAAUCAAGGGCCGAAACAGAACUUAGAAGUGUUCGGAUUAACCCAAAUCAGUUUAUGACAUACAACCUUUGGCCUUCUUUCUCUAACCAGGUUCCAAAACUCAGUCCAAGUAAAACAACCAUAUGCAAUUCCAGUGAACAUCACUCUGAUCGUCAGCAAUAUGACAAUGCUAAAGCGUCCCGCAUAAUGCUGUCUUGUAUUUGCACCAAUAGAUCUGAUCUUGUUGGAGGCAAGACCACUCAUCUCCGACUAGUAACAGUAGCUACCAAAGAGUUGAUAUAUCUAGAGCAGUAUCAUGAAUCACUCUCUGAGAAUAAACACCCCCUACAAAUGCCAUGAGGGUGCCAUGAUCACACCACAAAUGAACUGUCUUAUCCAUUGCGAGUCACUUGUCAAGUAUGUCGCUUAAGAAUGGACCUAACUUUUUGCAGCUUCCUUCAAGUAUAGGUGAGUUACUUUUAGGAGCAACAGACCGAAUAGAAGUCUGUUUUAGCAACAAAAGGACCCUGCUUUUAGCAACAACUCCUACCGAUUGUGAUUGUUUAUGCUAAUCUGCUGGUCUUUAACCUAAAGUUGUAUGGUUUAUUGUUCUCGCCCAUGCCUCGCCCAAUCCUUGUGGCUUCAUGAGCUUGAGUCUAUCGUCUCCUUUCCCAGCUUCCAUCUCAUGUUCAACCAACCUUUGAUCAUGCACUUGCCAUUUUCUUUUAUGGAGCAGCAUUGGUGGGUAGAUUUAGUAAAGGGCCUCGAAAUACUUUAAUCUGUGUUUUCCAUCACAUGUAAGAUUCAGUAGCUCGAAAAAUGUCAAAUUUGGGGCUUUGCAUAUGUGCUGUUUAGCAGCCGAAUUUUGAUAUAGAUACUGGUUAGUGUUAGGAUUGUGGUAAGAUGAUUGCAAAGUAUAUUGAGCUUAUUGAUAUGAGGAUGUUGCAAAUGUUUAUUCUCCAAUCCUUGUUGAUAUUUUUCGGUACUGACUUGGAUUUUGCAGCCAAUCUCCCUAACGGACUAAGAGAAUUACUGUUACUGGUAAGAAGGAAAAGGAGCCAAAUAGCCAGUAUACUUGCAUUCGAUGUCCCUAUUUUGAGGAAUCUAGAUUUAGAUGAGCACGGUGAGACAUUNNNNNNNNNNNNNNNNNNNNNNNNNNNNNNNNNNNNNNNNNNNNNNNNNNNNNNNNNNNNNNNNNNNNNNNNNNNNNNNNNNNNNNNNNNNNNNNNNNNNNNNNNNNNNNNNNAACGGUUUGAAAGGGAAUGGUCAAAAGAUGAUAAUCAAUCGUAUUCCAAAUGGUUUCUUUUGUUGCUGAAUACAAAAGUUAAUGGACAAGAUCUUGCCCAUUCAAGCAAUUAAGAAUCUCACCUUCGACAUUAAGGCAGAUAGCUACAGAGGUUACGCAGCAUCCUGAGAAAUUACUGAGACUCGCAGUGAUCCGUAUGGCGGCACUCUUGGUUUGAUAGCAGACAUCUACCAAGAAGGUUGAGCGACUUAUUCUGUUCUUUAGGUGUAUCGUCAAUUUAACUUAUUUUACAGUAGUCCAAGAGUCCGAAGGCUGAUAUACCAAAUUGAUUUGCAAAAUAAUCUGACAAACUAAAGCCAAAUAUUUAACAAAUGAACAAUAUUUAACUACUCGACUAGAGUCACAUUUCUUCGAGUCAGUUCUAUAUUCCCAGCAUUGGUUGUUUCUCAUAUAGCCACACAAAGCUUGUGUGGUUAUAAGCGAUGGGCACAUUGAAGUGACCAUUCAAUGCAUCAGUACACAGGGAAGCAACCCCCCCAAAUCAGCUUUGAAGAGGGAGUGCAUUCAUUUAAAUAUAUUCAUUCCAGAAGUCAUAAAAGCUACAAAAAUUCUCCCACAGCAUUCGUCAAUCCACAUGAUGGUGGAUCGAAAUGGACUCAACUGAGGAAAAGAAAGCAGCAAAUGUUCCAGGGACAACAUCCAAAGGAUAAAACCGAGUCGCCACAGUUUUAAGACAUUCCUUAGGACUCACCUUAGAUGUGAGAAAGUACGAAACACUGAUUCCGAAGGAGAAUUAGUAUAAAACAAUGAAGCACCAAGGAAGUAAAUUGAGAUGCACAAUUGCCUGACCAAGCACCUUGCUACAAAGUGGGUCAUUUUUCUCUCUUCUUUAAGUUCAAAUCAGAAGAUUGUCACAAACGGACAACGGGAACGUGGGAGUAAUCAUGAAGUGACAAGAUCUGGUGUUUCUGCUUCAACAAAUAACAAAUCCAUGUAUACUUNNNNNNNNNNNNNNNNNNNNNNNNNNNNNNNNNNNNNNNNNNNNNNNNNNNNNNNNNNNNNNNNNNNNNNNNNNNNNNNNNNNNNNNNNNNNNNNNNNNNUACGAGGCCAUAAACGAGAAAUAGAAAGCAAGCAAAGCAGAAGAAAAAACGUAUCAUCUAUGAAUAGAAAGAAGGCGCACCGUUUUCUGCGGAGAAUCCCCUGUUUCUGUUUCAAAGUCCACUGUUUCUGUUUCAGAGUACAUUGAAUCAGUUUCAGAGCUCCACGCUUGCUUUGCUCCAUUCAGAAUCUUAUCUUUGUAAGACUUCCAAGAGUCAUAACUACAACGACAGUCGGGUAACUCCCCGCUACCUGUUAUGCGUAUCAAGCAAUUAUCUGGUAUUUUUGAGCUCGAUGGAUCAAGAAUCCUUCCUACUGAUCUGCAACCCCGAAUUUGCAACUCACCCAAAAACUCUAGUUCGUCAAUGCCCUCAACAACCUGUAGGCUCGGGCACUGGUGAAUCUCUAACUGCUUCAAGUUCUUCGAGUUUGACAAACCGCCUAAGCUUUUUAGCGAAAAGCACUCUUCUACAUAAAAUUCUUCCAAUGAUUCGAACGCAGUAACAAAUUGAAUAUCCUGUACCUCGAGGAACCCCGACAGAAGAAAUUUUACAAGCGUCUUUUGGGAGCUUGAGAAAAGUAUCGCUCCCCUCCAAUGAUCAAUCAACUUGGGAGCUUGUAGUCCAUUGCACCUCGGCUCCUCCGGCUGACAAACCAAACUCUCGGAAGAUCUGCAGUCCUGAAUACGUGAUCUUUCUGACGAUUCUAAGACAUCGAGAGAUUGAACAUCAAGUUGCUCGGACACCUUGUUUUCUUUCGAUUUUCCCAAACUUGUUGGAAGGAAUGGAGUCUCCUUUUCCGAUGGAGGAAGCCCAUCGUGGUGUACUUGUUUCCCUCCAGUUUCGUAAAGCUCUAAAACUAUCAAAUUUGACGGGAGGUCUUUGAAAGUUGGCAAGUCUAGUCCGUAUAGAGUAAGUUCUUUCAGCAGAGAAAGGGAACCCAACUCUGUAGUUGGGGCGCGGACAUUUUUAAAGCAGAUUUGCAGGUUGCUCAAUUUGGUUAAACUCCCAAUCCACCCCAAGUCGCCGGUUUGGAAUUCAUUUGAUGGGUCUCUAUGUUCAUAGCCAUCAGAUAGGAGCAGUUCAACUAUAUUAGUAAGGUAUGAGAGGUUAGGGACAGUUUGCAGGGAAAAAGAUCUAAGCCGUAAAGUGGUCAAACUUAUGGGAAGCUUUGGCAACUCUUGUAUCUCAUGACAACCAUACAAGUGCAGUGUUUGGAGUUGACGAAACUUGCUCAUUGUACUGGGCAUUUCCGCAAUUGGGGUGCGUGAUACAUUGAGAGAUGACAAGUUUGGUAGUUCACCAAUGGUAUCCGGUAAUUUCAUAAUUUCUGUGUAUGAUACAUCCAGCUCCAUUAACGACUUUAUUUUCGAAACCGAGGCAGGGAGUUCAAUCAAGCUAGAACAAUGGUUAAGACAGAGGCACUGCAAAUUUUGUAACUCUCCAAUUUGUUCAGGCAAUUUUUCAAUGACUGACAAAACUGAAAAUUCAAGUCAGUUAGCCACCUCAGUUUCCCAAUAGAACAAUCAAUUUCCAUUAAAGAGUCAAAUGAACUAACAAUCAACUGCUUUAAAUUUGAGUACUCGGGAAAGGUCGGUGCCUUACUUAUCAAAGUAUUAAACCGAAUAGUGAGAACCUUCAAUUUCCUUGCUCCCUACAAAAGCCAAUAAAACAAUAGGAUAGACAAGAAAUAAAUAUGGAUUUAAGCUACCAAUGAGAAAAUUAGAUAAUAAACCCGUCAAAUUCUGUCCUUCAUUGAAUGAGAAAAUUAGACUAAGAGGGAAACUGGCAUACCUUGACUAGGCACUCGAACGCCUCUUCUGUGAUAUUCAUCCCAAAAAGAUUCACCACAACCGCGUUUUCUAGAUGCAACAAAGCGGUUGCCUCCAAACAUUUACUAGGACCAUCAUCAAGACUUGUAACGCUGCCAUACAAACGGAUGCAUUUCAACUCAGAAAGACAGCCCAAAAAGUCACCUUGGUAGGUUACCCCACUCCACGAAAGAAACCGUAUAUGUGGGAACCGCUUAAUUUGCUCCGAAGUGACAGUCAUACAAUCUGACAAACAGAGUGCUUGAACGCUUCUAUUGAUCUGCCAAUGACAUUGAGGAGGAGAAGCAGGAAUUUGUCAAUAUCCCACUAUUUUAUUUCAUAGAAGAGAAGAAAAAACGAAAUAGGAGAGAAUCUUCCAAAUCAAAAACAAGAAUCCUCAAUUAAGAAGUGGGCAUAAGCAAUUUUCUAUUCAAAUUUGGCCAUACUUUACCUCUGUUGAUCUUAAUUUGUGUUCGAUGUCCUCAUUAUCCCAUAACCUGGUAUUCUCUUCUUUAGCAAUUUUCCUUCCAAGGUCUCUCAUCUGAUCGUGCAUCCAAAAUCUAUCAUUAGCUAGAACCUUUAUCAUGCACCUCUGACUAAGGACUUGGAUGGCAAGCCGUGGGCAAAACUUACAAUCUUCCCACAUGUACAUUGGAUUUGUCUUAUUCUCACCAAUGAACAUGCAUGCAACAUCAAGAAAUAUCUGUUGUUGCUCCAGAUUUAAGGCAUCAUAACUAAUCUUUAGCUUUCCCAAGACAUCUUGAUGAGGUGUUUUCCUUAGCUUCUCUAGUGUCUCUACCCAUAUUCCAUUAUCUUUUAAAUUAAAAAGCAUCGAACCUGUUGCUUCAAGAGCUAAAGGUAGUCCAUCUGCAGUAGAGACAAUCGCUUUUGAAAGAGUGGAGUAAUUGGGCAGAGGAGAGUUGUCAUUGAAGGCAUGCCUACUGAAAAGUUUAAGUGCGUCUUCCUCGCUCAACCGCAUCAUUUCAUGUUCCUCGAAUUUGUACUUAAAUCCCCUGAUAUUCAAAACGUUGUUGUCCCUAGUAGUAACAAGUACUCUAGUACCAGGAUGCAAAGAUUUCUUUCCGAUUAGGUUUUGGAUCUGCUUGGCCUCAUCAACAUCAUCCAAUACAAUUAGCAUCUUCUUGUUGCAAAUUGUUUUUUCAAUCAUAUUGAUCCCAUGAUCAAUGUCAGUAAUGUCAGGAGCCAUUCCAAAAUAAGAGACAUCGAACAAUAAUUUUUUUUGUAGUUUGACUAAGCCCUUGGUCUUUGCCGUUUCCCUCACAUCAUCAAGAAAGCUGCAGUUUCUCCCAAAGCGAUGAAGUAGUUGGUUGAAGAUAAUCUUGGCGAGUGUUGUUUUACCGAUGCCUCCCAUCCCGUAAAUUCCAAUGAACCGCACAUCAUCAGAAUCAAUGUCUAAUAAAUCUUUUAUGGUUGCUAUUUGAUCUUCCAUUCCAACUAAAUGUUCGAUUAAAUGUUUCUGUCUUGUCUCGAGCCUGACCACAACCUCGUGAACAACCGCUUGGAUAAGUUCCGCAUAGCUGCCAACAAGUUGAGUAGUUUCAAUUGAGAAAAGGUGACAAAUUUGCAUGUUGACCAGCCAUCUAAUAACCAACCAGGUGGGAACUCGAUCAAGUUUAGCAUAUAGAAGAGAAAUGUUUGAUCUUUGUAUCAAGUGGAAGAAUCGGAAUUUUUUGCCAAAAAGGGUAGAAGAAUCAAAAUAUAAACAUCUAGUGAAUUACUAUAAUAGAAGAUUUACUUAAAUAUAAAAUGACCUAAUUGUACAAAAUAAUUUUCAGAGUCAUGGUUAGAUUGUUACCCAGAAUAUUUCUCCAACUCCCAUCCCUUGUUGCGACCAACUUCUUUGAGAGCUUGCUGACAUGUCUUUAUAACCGUGGAGCUGAACUUAUUCUUCCGAUCCUCCAUCUCUUGCACCAAAUUCGAUAUGGCAUCUUUGUACAACGGGGUUUUCAACUUCACGUCAUCGGGUUUCACAUCAUAGAAGAUGGGCAAUAUGACCUUCUCUUUCCCAUCUUCUUUAUAUUUAGAGGUGUUCUCCACCAUCUUCGCAAGCUCGUCGAGGCACCAGUGACUUGAAGCAUAAUCUUUGGAGAAGAUGGGUAUGUAAACCUUGGAAUUGUCAAUUGCUUGUAGAAGUUGCCACUAAUUAUUUCACCUGGUCGAAGCCCUUCAUCAUCGAUGAAAACACUAAUCCCAGCAUUUACCAAGGCUUGGUGGAGGAUAUCGGUGAAUGUACAACGAGUAUCAGGCCCUCUAAAAUUCAAGAAGACCUGGUACUCACCUCGUGAUGGAUUGCUGGUGCUUGUUCCUGUCUCUGAGUUCACCAUCGGAGCUCACUUCGCACUUAGCAAGGUCAGCCCUCUCACUUGGUCUUUGAGUUUGCCAUAUGACACUUCACAUAUUUGAAUCCAAUCCAAUUUGCCGUCCAAAAC